rnacentral:lncRNA from 1 species
UGAGGAUGCUCCUGUGGAAGAUGUAAUCCCAAUUCUCGUGGCUGCCUUCCAUUGCCAACUGAACAAGCUUCGUUUUUUCUGCAUCCAGAGAAUUGCAAGGUCAAAUCUUGACAAUGUUUGUCUCGAGAAAGAGCUUCCCGAUGAAGUUUCAAGAGAAAUCAAAUCACUCCGUGUCAAAUCUAACCAGGAGUCUGAAGCUAUUAUAGCAGAAGUGGAUCCCAUGCAUGCAAAAAUAGUCAGUAGAAUCCACAAGGCGCUGGACUCUGAUGACGUUGAACUGUUGAAGCUUCUUCUGGAUGUAUCUAAUGUCACUCUGGAUGAUGCUUACGCUCUGCACUAUGCUGCUGCCUACUGCAACCCUAAGGUUUUUAAGGAAGUGCUCAAUAUGGGCUUGGCUGACCUCAAUCUUAGGGAUGCAAGAGGACGUACGGUGCUUCAUGUGGCUGCAAGGCGUAAUGAGCCAGAAGUGAUGGUGACUCUGCUGAGCAAGGGAGCAUGCGCAUCAGAAACUACAUCAGAUGGGCAAACCGCUGUAGCAAUCUGUCGGAGAAUGACAAGGCGAAAGGAUUAUCUUGAAGCUACAAAGCAGGGGCAGGGAACUAACAAAGACCGGUUAUGCAUUGAUGUCCUUGAGAGAGAGAUGAGAAGGAACUCCAUGUCUGAGAACUUGGCAAUGUCAUCAGAGGUGAUGGAUGAUGAUUUCCAAAGGAAGCUGGACUAUCUGGAAAAUAGAGGUGAUAAUUUCUUUACUGGUAUUAGUUCAUCACCUUCUCAGAGUUUGUGCAUAGCACACUUCUUUCUACUGUUUGUUUGUCCAUUCAUCUGGAAAAUAGAGGUGAUAUUCCUUUGCUGGUAUUAGUAAAUCAUCUUCUCAGAGUUUGUGAGUCCCUUCAUCUUAGGAUCUCAAACACACAUGGGCUCAUUGCUUGGAGCACACUGUUGGCCAGUCGUGUGAUUUGAUCCCUUUUUUGGAAUAGACAACUCUGAAUCCAUCUGAUCUAGGCUUGGCGGUUUGCACUGAACUGGUUUUUGAUGAAUAAUUGCACAAGACUUUGUCAUCAAAACUUUUAUUUUUUGGUUUUUUUGCCCCAAAAGUAAUGAGGUACAAAAAAAAUCUAUGCCUAUCCUGGAUGACUGCCAUAACAGCUUCUUAAUAUUUUGCAGUGGCUUUUGUACGGUUGUUUCCUUCUGAAGCUAGAGUAGCUAUGGAAAUAGCAGGUGCAGAUACCGCCACUGGCCUUUCAGCAUUAGGUCAGAAAGGACUAAGUGGGAACUUAAAGGAGAUUGAUUUGAAUGAAACGCCCUCUAUGCAAGCCAAGAGACGCCAAUUGAGACUGCUAACUCUGCUUAAAACAGGUAUUUAUAUACUUUAUUAACUUUUGCACCUUUCUAUUUACUGAUUAUCUUUAUAAUUAACUAAUACAUGUAUCCAGGUUUCUCCUUCCAUUUCUAAAAGGUUUCUCCUUCCAUUUCAUUAGAAGUAAAUUGGAAUUUCUUUAUAGUGCUCUGUUAGGUGUAAUCAGAUGUAUCAAAAGAGAAAGGGUAAUUGUUAGUACAUUGAUAUCUCAACAAAAUGGUAGAACCUUUCUUUAUACCAGUAAGACAUUUGUUGCAGGUAUGCCUACAUAAUCAGUGUCCUUCAAAACUUUCAAGGAGUUAGCAAUGCCUAACCCCUGAAACACUAAAUCUCACGGGAUCAACUCUUUACCUCUAGACCGAAGGUGUGACACCCAGACCCAAUUAGGGCUUAGAACACAUAUCGAAUCUGAGUGAAACUAAAUGCCUGUAAAUCCAAAUCUCCAAAAUAUCAUAAAGUCAUCUACUUUCUCUUUUCAUGUAUUUCACAAAAUUUUGAAAAAUUCAUUCUCAAUCAUAAACUAUGCACAGCUAAUUAUUCAGCAUAUCAGUAUAGAGCAAUACUUCCUCAUAAGCAAAUAAAUCUUACAAUCCUUCUUAAAUGAUUUGAAAAAAAUACUAAUAGAAGUCUUCUAGAUACAAACAUAAACAGAAUUCAACUGUUUAAAACUAUGCCAAAACACAAGCUUCAAUCAGUAAUGCAUACGACUAAUUAUUAAAAACAUCUAGCCAGAAACCUUACGAAAGCUCAAUCCUUUCGAAGCAUUCUUCAAAUUAAUAAUUGCUACCAUCUGUGAAAAAUAAUUGACAAGGAGUCACCUGUGAACUCAAUCAGUAGAAACAUUCGUAACGAACAAAAAGAAUUCUUUGUGCAAUAUUUUCAGAAAAUUCAUUUAACCUUUCAAAUGAAACAGAGUAAUUUUUCUAACGCAGUCAGGAUUUAUAUAAAACACAAACGUUUCAGACAAAAGCUGUGUGGAAUGUAAAUUUUGUUUCUUUAAACAGAAAGUUAUAUAUUAGUUUGAUUUUAAAGGGAGGUUAUUGGGAAGUUAAAAUUGGCAGUUGCGGGAAAAGGGUAAUAGCAGUUAUAAAAUCUCUUUUAAAGCAAAUUCAAAUCAAGUUUCAAAUUUUAGGAGUACUUAAUUCAAUAAAAUAAGGAAUAAAUAAAGCUUUCAUUGAAAUAAAACUAAGUAAAUUCAUUUAAAGCAAAAAAGGAUGGGAGCAUUACUAUGGGUUCUUAUGUUUACCCGCAGUCAGACAUCUGGGACCUUGUUAUUUGGAGACAAGACUUGAUUGUGCCAUGUUUUCCGCAGCUAGACAUCUGUGGAUAAGAGAACCCUAAGCGUAUUGAGAAUAAAUUCCAUAAUCCAAGUCUCUUCAGUUCUUUCAUUUGUGGCUAAUUAGUUAUAAAAUUUGUGAAUUUCAUGCCCCAUGCCCCUUGCAAAAAUGUAUUUUAUAUCCUUAAGAUGCCAGUUGUUGAACUGAAAUAAUAAAAAAUGGAAAACAGACUUAAUGCCGAUAGCAUUUCUUAAGAAAAACUUGGGAUGUUUAUAAGUUUCUUAGAGCAUUUGCUGAACUUUCUGUGAUGGCAGUCGAGACGGGUGACCGCUACUUCCCUCAUUGCUCAGAAGUGGUUGAUCGCUUUUUGGAUUUGAACAAUCCUUCCACCCCAGAAAUGGACGACGAGAAACUUAAAGUAGACGUGCAGGAGGCAUUCUGCAAGGACGUGGCUUAUCACCGUCGUUUAGGGCUGCCAUCAUCCUGGCCGGCAUUUUACCAGUACAUGGCUAGGAGCAAUCAGUCGGCAUUUUACAAGUACGUGGCUGAGAGCAAUGGUUCACGAAUGUCGACAUCCUGGGCAGCGAGCAAUUAAGCAUCACCUUUCCCUAAAAGUUAUAUUUGACACCUGGAAAACUAAAGUAGUUGAGUGAGCUCGAUUGGUAUUUGUAGUUUCUUUUUUUUUUACUCAAGUGAUCUGGCAUAAUUAAAAGUUAUUUGUUUGUCUUCAAAGUUAUUGUAUUGUCUCAAGUCCGGUGAGAUGCGCGAACGUAUAGCAUGCAUCACAAACUCAUUUCAUAGAAUAUUUUUUUGUAUAAUUAUAUAAUUUAUAGGCUUUGCUUAAAAAAUUAAAAAAGAAAAAAAGAAUUGUAUUACAAUUGGUAUGAGGCAUGCUCGUGUGUUAUAUCAGUUGCAUGCGUGUGUUAUAUCAGUUGCUGAACAAACUUUGCCUUUUAGUUUUGUAGGCACUACCAUCUCAAAUUCUCUGUUAUCAUGAAUGAGUAUUUUUUUUCUUUUUUCUUUUUUAAGAAAUCAUAAAUGAGAUUCAGAUAAUCUUUUUAAAAAAAAAAGAAAAAAAAAUGGAGAUUUCUUUUAUUUUUCCUUAAAAAACUGAAGAAAAAUUUAGAAGGUAGUGAGAGACGGAGAAUUAAAGCAAUUUUAUUCACAAAUGUAAUGUGUUUGGUCUAGCAAUACAAACUAAUAAAUUAUAAUUUAUGAGAUUAGUUUACAUAAUCUUAUAUAUAAAAUUAUAUCCUCUGAAUAAAAAUCUUCUCACCUCUUUUGACUUCUCAUUUAGAUGCCCUCUCUAGAAUCUCUCCAGCCAUAAACACAUUUUUAUAAAACAAAACACAAAAAAAAAUUAUAUAUAGUUGUCACAAGGACUAUUUCAUUUGCACAUAAUACGCAAUUGGUCAUUAAAGUUAUUAGAGGAGAAACUUUACAUGACAUGGGUACAUCAUAUUAUUAGUAUUUUAGUUUAAAUUUUUACAUACUAGAACAGUCUCUUUUUCUCCGAUUUGAGAGAUAAUGGGGAAUGGGGUUAAAGUGCAUCUACAUAGAAUUAAUUAUAAUUAAAUUUAUUUUUUAAAACUAUUUUAACUAGAAGUAGUAGUAAUUCUUUUUACUAUUGUUAUUCCAAUUAUAUCAAAAUCUCGUGACUGGUGAUCAAAAUAAGUGGUUCAUUAAAUUUUUUUAGGUGACGUAUGGUAUGGAGUUGUUAUAAAUCUAUAUAAAAAGUAAAAUAUUUAAUUUUGCUUGUCGUAAACUUUUAAUUUGCAUGGGUUAAAAAAGAAAAAAAGAAAUUGACUUAUUAAUUAAUUAACAAUUAUAGAAAGAAUAAAUAGAAAAUUAUAGUUGCGUGAGAAAACCCUCGUGAAAAGGGCUCCGGAUUUCCUUUCCCUGGCUUCGUGCGUUUCCUUUUGCCCUUUUCGAGCACGAAUUCGAAUCCAGUACUUUAUAAUAAAGAUAUAAUAUUAAAAAAUAAGAAAAAGAAUCCCAAUUUUUACUGGUAUAUAACGCAGAGCCUGCAUUAUGAAACACUCUUUUGCUAUUGUUUUCUUUUCUUUUCUCUUUUGCUGUAAUUUUUUAUGAAACACUCUGUUUCAGUUCUGUUUCUGGUUUUGUUUCGGUUUAAUAUUAUUGGUUCCGUUUGGUUCUGUUCUGCUCUGUUCUACGUCGUAUGUAUAUAUGUAUAUAUUUUUGGCCUCGAAUUGCUUUCAUCACCGGUUUUGUUAUUCAUUUAUCGUGAAUUUUAGAUGACUUGUUCGGCCAUGUUACAUUCAGCUACCAUUUUCAUGGUGGGUUUGUAAGAUAGUCUCUGACUAACACAUGGCAUUGAUUAUGAAUGAUGGUUUUGUGAGAUACAUCAUACAGACGUUAACUCGUGUUAAUUUGUACUUACAUCAUUCAAAAGAUUACUGUUUUUCUCUCUUUUUUUUAAAAAAAAAAAAAAUUGAAAUGCCCUUUUUCGCAUUUUAUAGAUGAAAGGAAGAAACAUAAUAUCGCAGAACUAGAAUAAAGGAGCCUAUUCUGUUACCUAUUGUCCGAGGAACCUUCUGUAUAUUCGGUAGGAACUACCAUGGGAAGUCAAAUCUUACCAGAGCCAGGCGGAGUCGUUGCUGAAGGAAUAUAUAUUAGCAGAUCCAUUUGUCCCGUACACUUCAAUUGUUGGUAGCAUUUUUGCUUGCACGAUGGUAUGUUUGUCAUCGUUACUGCGUGGUGGUAUUUACUAGAAAAUAUUUUGAAUGCAUAGUUUUUAUUUAAUUAGUUAUAAAAUUUUUAUACCCUCUGUUUUCCAUAAGAAUGUGUUCCUUUUCAGGUCUAUGAUCUUGCCCAAUUGAUUAGUGUGCUGUUCACUUUAAAUCUGAUUCCAGUUUCUCCAACAUACAGCGGGUCGAGUGGAGUAACAGGUGAUUGAAAAUUUUCAUUUAGUCCAAUUGUCAUUUCUUUCUCAAUCGGUAAAGUUUAAUCAUUUUUCUUAAAUCGACAACUCAUGCAGGGCCAUAUCAACCGUCCAUGACAUUUUUAUUACAGCGAUGUCUUUGUACUUUGUGUUUUGGUCGGAUCUCAGAGUUUGUGCAUAGCACACUUGGUUCUACUGUUUGUUUGUCCCUUCAUAGACAUUUCGAUAAACUGUUAUUUUUGUUCUUUGGAAGUGAAUAUUUUCAGCAACUAGAACUCCGAAGCAUCUGGAGUGAUCCAUUUUGUCAUUCUCAAUACCUAUAAAAGAAUGUCAUAGAAAACAGUUUCCAAAGCAAGUUGCAUGUGUUUUGAAUUUGUCUUUGCAAGCCACUAAUUGCUUGGAGCGCACUGUUAGCCAGUCGUGGUUCCAUCCACUUUUUUGGAUAGACAAUUGUGCAUCCAUAUGAUCUGGACUAAACUAGUUUCUAAUAAAUAAUUGCCCAGGGUUUUAGUCUCAGUGUUACAGCCCAGUCUUUGUUGUCAAUACUCUUUCCCCUGUCGUGGAUGAGCGACAUAACAGCUUCUUAAUGUUUUGCAGUGGCUUUUGCACGGUUGUUGUUUCCUUCUGAAGCUAGAGUAGCUACGGAUAGAGCGGAUGCAGAUGCCACCAAUUUUUAUACUGGCCUUUCAGCAUCAAAAUCAAAAGGAUCAAGUGGGAACUUAAAGGAGGUUGAUUUGAAUGAAACACCCUCUAUGCAAGCCAAGAGACUCCAAUUAAGAUUGCAAGCUCUGCUUAAAACAAGUAUUCAUAUACCUUAUUAGUUUUUGUACCUUUACAAUUUGUGAUUUUUGUAUCAAAAGAGAGAGGUUAAUUUUUAGUACAUUGAUAUCUCGACAAACUGUUAGAACCUUUGCACCACUAGAGACAUUUUCUUAGAGCAUUUACUGAACCUUCUAUGAUUGCAGUGGAGACAGGUCGACGCUACUUCCCUCGUUGCUCAGAAGUGGUUGAUAAAUUUUAGGAUUGUGAUUGGGCCGAUGCUUCCCUCCUAGAAAAAGGGUACUCCUGAAGAGCAGAGACUCAAAAGGGCACGCUUCAUGGAACUUAAAGAAGACAUGAAGAAGGCAUUUUACAAGGACAUGGCUGAGAAAAAAUGGCUCAGGUUUGUAGUCAUCCUCGUCAUCGUCAUCUUCUCCGAAGGACGGAGUAAAGUGUAAGGGUAGGAAAAUGUGAUGCUUAGCUGCAUGUCUUUGUUAUUCAUUUAUUGGCAACUAAAAGAGUUUUAGUGAGUUGGCUUGUUACUUGUAGAGAGAUACUCUUAGAGCCUAUGUUAUGGCUAUGUUGUAUAAUAGCAGAGGAACUUCAAGCUUGUGUUGUUGUAUUUUCCCUGGUAUUUGGCAUGUAAUGCACUAAAUGACAAAGAAUUUUCUAAUUUUAGAGGGGAAUGUUAUGUCAGUUAAUUAUUUAUUUAUUUUGUCUGUUUAAUUCAGUUUACAUAGCUUUUUUUUUUUCUCCAAAAAAAUCUUCAUAUCUCCAUCUGCAAUUUAAGUCAUUUGUAACUUCUUUCAGGGAGGAAGGAAAAGGGAAAAAAAAGAAGCAUUUGUAAGUAUAUUUACAGUACUGAUUUUCCUACAGAAAUUGGUUAAGGUGACAUUAAUGUUCUUAGUAACAGAUGGAUAUGCAGAAUUUUCGUUGAAAUUGAAAUUAGAAAUGGAUGGAUAUGAAUGACAUAUAUUCAGAAUUUUUUAGUAGAAUGUUUAAACAAAAUUUUUUAGCUCAUUACUCUCUAGAAGGAAAAUAAAUUUUUUAUUGUAAAUAUUAAAUAUUAAAUUUAUAAUAUAAUAAAUGUGUGACUUAAGGUGCACAAUACCUAUAUAAUAAUAAUAAUUAGGACAAGAAAAAUCAAAUUUUGUAAAUUACCAAAUUUCCCUUGGAAUUUGAUAUUCUAUAUCAACGUAGGUGUUGCAUCCACUGGGUUAGUACAACUAAAAGAAACUAACUAAAGUAAAACAAAAUAUCAGAAAAAUAUGGCGAGCUUCUCAUUUUUUUUUAAGUGAAAAAAAAAGAAAACUGAAAUUAAUUAUUUUUAUACCCAAAUUCUCAUGCUCGAAGGCCGCUGGAAUUGGUCAUUGUAAUUUUGUCAUCCUCGUUAUUCACUGGCCAUCGUAGCCUUCCUCCCUUAGAAUGAGAGUCGUUUUUUGGACCACGACAUAAUAAAAAUAGUAUUGAUUAAUACUAAUAAAUUUCUUUUUGAUUAUUUUGCAGUGUAAUAGUCUAGUGCGUGCCAGUGCCCAUCAGAUCACUUGAACAUGUGGUAAAAUUCUGCGAGUCUUUGUAAAAUAAUUUUUAAAUUGUGUAUUAACCAAAUAGCUCAAUGAAGACUAUCGACUCAUUAUUUUAUUUUGUAUAUAUUUAUGAUAAUUGUUGAAAAGAAAAUUGUAAAGUGAGAUUAAUGAACAUUUAUGAAUGUGGAAAUUAACACAACCAGAAUUUAUGAUGAAAUAAUUUUAAGUCAAACGAAUGUAAGUUUGUAUAUAUAUUUUUUGAAUUGUCAUAUAUAUACAAGUUUGUCACUAACAGUAAAUUAAAUUAUGAAUAUUUUAAUAAUUCAAAAUCUCAUUUAACCAUCAGCGUUUAUAGGGUGCGUUUGGCACAUUGUAUUGUAUUAUAUUGUAUUAUAUUAUUUUAAUGCAUGUGUAUUAUAUUAUAUUGUAUUACAUUAACAUUGUAUUAUAAUAAUACUAUACAAUGUUUGGUACUACAUUGUAUUAAUUUUUAAUAAAUAUAUAAUAUUACACUGUAUUAUAUUAAUUUUUUAAUAAGUACUUUAAAUUAUAUAUUUAGAAAAUAACAUUUAUUAGUCGUUAAAAAAUACUAAAUAUAAAAUUCUUAAAUUUUAGAAAUUUAAUAUUAUCUUUCUGGUAUAAACGUUGAAAAAAAAAAUCAUAAUUCUUCGUAAAAAUCGAAAUAAAUAAUUCAAUCAAAUAACCUUCAAAUAAUAUUAUAACAUAAAUAAAUAAUUAAAAUGUACAAGAUUAAGUUAAAAAUCAUUUUAAGAUAAUAAAAUAAAAAUUUAUACAUAGUAUAAAAUAAUAUAGUAACUGUAGUAUAAUAACUAACAAAAUAGACUGUACUAAAUAAUUUAAGUAAUACAACAAUAUUUACAAGUACCGUUUUUGCUAUCUUUCUCUUUUAAAGGCCCCUUUUUUGUUUUAUUCUUAGAACUUCAUAGUUCUUUUGUUUUUUCUUUUUCUUUUUCUUUUUCUUUGCCCCUUUUUUGUUUUCUUCAUAUUUCUUUUGGCUUCAUAAGUUUCUUUUAACUGAGUUAAUAGUGUUGUUAGGUUAAACUAAGUUUGGCUUCAUAAACUUAAAUCUCGUUAAGUUUUCCUUCGAAUAGCUCUCUCUCUUUUAGAGAGGCUUGAAUGGAAAAAUAUUAAGGGGUCGUAAGGACUCAGGUGGUCACUCCUAGUGAGUGGAAAGUAAUCUAAACCAGCAAGCUGUUGGGAUUGAUGUGCUGGUGGAGAAAGUUUCGAAGAGCCAAAGGUAGUGUAAAGCGUUGGGGUACGAGUCAAAGCAAGCAAGUUGAAAGAACUCACUAUCGGCUCUAGCGUUAUUUGCCAUGGACACUGAAGAGCUAAUUCGCAAGUGUCAAGCAAUAAAUAUUAGAGAGGAAGACAAAGCCAAAAUAACACUGGAGGUGAAUCUGGAAAAAAAGAAAGAACUAAUGAUGGCAGGCUGCUUAGUGGGUAAAGUAAUGCUCGCGAAGGGAGUAAAUAAAGAGGGUCUCAAGGCUGCGUUACAGCAGGUGUGGAGGACUUUCAAAGAAGUCAAAAUCGAAAGCGUGGGAAACAACAUCUUCAUGUUUAAAUUUGCUGAGGAAGCAGACAAGAAAAGAGUGUUAAAAUGGGGACCAUGGCACUUCGACAGGGCAUUGAUUGUACUCGCUGAGCCAAGGGGGAUUGGGGAAGUCGCAAAACAAUCCUUUACUCAUACAUCCUUUUGGGUGCAGAUUCGUAAUGUUCCACUAGCGUGUAUGGAUAAAGAUUUUCUCCGGGAGCUGGGUGAGAAGCUAGGAUCAGUUGAAGAGGUCCAAACUGAUGAUAAUGGAGAUUGUAUUGGGGAAUAUGCCAGAAUAAGAGUUUCAAUUAAUAUAACACUGCCGCUAGAGAGGAUUCUAUUUCUAAAGCGAGAAGGUGAAACUGAUAUCCCAAUGCCAGUGGUCUAUGAACGUUUGCCGGAUUUUUGUUAUUGCUGCGGCAUCAUAGGACAUCAAUACAAAGAGUGUGGCAAAUACCAAGACCAACCAAGAGAAGAUUUACCAUAUGGGAGCUGGAUGAAAGCGAUUACGGUAGGGGGCUUCACAAAGAGGAAUCAGAACCAGGGAAGGUGGAACUAUGGGGCUGGAAAAUCGGAUGAAAAAUCAGCAAGCUCAGAAAAUCACAGCUUCCAGCAACAGCAAGGGCAAAACAAAGAAAACCCGAUAGAGGCAAACGGGUCGGUACAAAAUGAGAAGGAAAUGGGGCAAACCAUGGAGCAUGCUAAGAAUGAUGUGAUAGGAGGAGUAGCUGAGCAACAAUUAAUGCAAGGAGUGUCACAGUCAGCGGACAAAAAACAAACUGACGGCCACAAGCAAGCUAAGAAAAGUGGCAAUGCAACAGUCCCAAGGAAAAUGGGCACACAAGCGGGAAAUGGUAUCCUAAACGAGGGGGAAAAAAUGCAAAUAAGUCAUGAAAAGGAAGCUGGAAAAAAUGAUGGGCCGGAAGUCUCUCAGCUACAGCCCAAUAAGAGAAAGUGGAAGAGAUUACUUAGAGAGCUAAGUGAAGGGGGGGAAGAAAUGGAGGUACAAACUCGGAAAAGGCCAAGGGGGAAAAAACUCGGGCAAAGCCCAAGGAAAAAAACAAAACUCUCCAACUCAAACCAGCUCGAGACAAAAAAUCUGAUGCAUGUUUCUUCAACAGCAAGUCUUCAGCUGGGGUGGGAACCGCUGAUGCUGGAAGAGGUGGUAGUUAUGGAAGCAAACAACAUGGAGAUAUCGGCGGAGGCUGGUGGCCAGCCCCGCCGAAAACCAUGAAUAUCCUCAGCUGGAAUGUUCGGGGUUUGGGGAAUCCCCGAGCAUUUCAAGCCUUAAGAAAAAUCCUCCAGUUGCAUGGUGCUCAGCUGGUGUUCUUGUGUGAAACAAAGGUAUCAACCAUGCAAAUGAAUGUAAUUGCAAGUAAGCUGAGCUUCGAGAAUUGCCUUGCGGUAAACGGUAAUGGAAGAGGAGGCGGAAUAGCAAUGCUCUGGAAGUCAGAUAUUGAGGUGCAAAUCAAAUCAUACAGCCAGCACCACAUUGAUGCCGAAACUCAAAUGCCAAAUGGGAAUCAAAUGCGAAUUACAGGAGUGUAUGGGCAUCCGGAAAUAAGCCAGAAAAAGCACACUUGGACGCUCCUCAGACGGCUGGCGGUUUUAUCUUCUAGUCCUUGGUUGUGUUGUGGAGAUUUUAACGAAAUUUUACAUCCAAAUGAGAAGAGGGGCGGCAAUGAUAGAAAUGUGAAUUUAAUUAAUGAGUUUAGAGAAGUCUUGAGAGAUUGUGGCUUAAAGGAUGUCGGGUUUCGGGGGUAUGCUUUUACUUGGAAUAAUGGAAGAUAUGGGGAGGGUUUUGUGGAAGAAAGGUUGGACAGAUUUGUUUGCUCUAAAGCUUGGAGUGAUAGAUUUGUGGACUGUGCAGCAAGUAAUCUGGACUCCUGGACUUCGGAUCAUUGUCCCGUGCUGAUGGUUGUUCAAGAGAGAAGGGAGGGUAUGAUCCAAAGGGGUAGACAUUCCUCGCGAAUCCAUUAUGAGGAUAUGUGGAGUUCGUAUGACGGAUGCAAAGAGAUAAUUAAGGAGGAAUGGGGGCUGUAUAGAAACUGGAGCAGUGAAAAUUCAGCCCAAUCCUUUCGACAAGCAACAAAAACUUCGAUGGGUAGGCUGCUGGGGUGGAGCAAGAGGGAAUUUAGAAAGCGUGACAGAAAAUUAGAGAAGCUGAAGGUUCAGCUGAGGGAGUUAAAACAAAGAAGGGUGCAAUUUGUAGAUGGUGAGGAAAUUCGGAAGGUGGAGAAGCAAAUUCAAAAUAUUCUUAUGGAUGAAGAAAUCUACUGGAAGCAACGUUCAAGAGCAGAUUGGCUCAAGGAGGGGGACAAAAACACAAAAUUUUUUCACGGCAAAGCGACGGCAAGAAGGAAAAAAAACAGAAUUUGGGGGAUUGAAGAUAAUUUUGGGAAAUGGAUUGAGGAGCCAAUCAAAGUAGAGCAUGAGUUUUGCAACUAUUUCACCAAGCUUUUUACAUCAACCCAGCCGAGACAAGAUCAAAUUGCAGCAGCUUUGGAAGGAAUAACUCCAAGAGUUUCAGCCAGUAUGAAUGAGAGUCUGGGGGCACCUUUUACAGCCGAGGAAGUGUUGGAAGCGCUGAGCCAAAUGUGCCCAACAAAGGCUCCGGGGCCGGAUGGUUUGCCAGCCGUGUUUUACCAAAAGCAUUGGCAUUCGGUCAAGGAGGGAGUGCUCACCACUUGUCUGCAUAUCCUUAAUUCACAAGGUACCAUCGGCCCUCUAAACCACACUUACAUUGCUUUGAUACCAAAAAUCGGAAAGCCUAGGAAAGUGACAGAUUUUAGGCCUAUUAGUUUGUGCAAUGUCAGCUAUAGAAUUGUUGCUAAAACAGUUGCUAAUAGAUUUAAGCAAGUUUUGCACAAAAUCAUCUCUCCAUCGCAAAGUGCAUUCAUUCCCAAUAGGCUGAUCACUGACAAUAUAAUAGUUGGCUAUGAAUGUUUGCACAAAAUUAGGCAUUGUAAAAGCAAGCGAAAUGGAUUAAUUGCCUUAAAGCUUGAUGUUAGUAAAGCUUAUGAUAGAUUGGAAUGGAAUUUCUUAGAGCAAACUUUAGAAAAAUUAGGCUUCUCGCAGCAAUGGAUUAGCUUGAUUAUGAGGUGCAUUAGUUCGGUUUCAUUUUCAGUGUUAAUAAAUGGUGCAGUGAAAGGCUUAAUUAAACCUCAAAGGGGCUUACGUCAAGGAUGCCCCCUCUCCCCAUAUUUGUUUAUUACAUGUGCAGAGGCCUUUUCAUCUUUGCUGCAGCAAGCUGAGCAACAACAACUCAUUCAUGGGUUAUCUUUUGGAAGCAAUCUGAAGAUUUCGCACCUCCUUUUUGCCGAUGACAGCCUGGUCUUCAGCAGAGCCUCCAUGGCCGACUGUCACAACUUGAAGAUGAUCCUUGAGUGUUACUCCACAGCUUCGGGCCAAAUUUUUAACUUCGAGAAAUCUUCCCUUUUUAUCAGUGGCAAUGUACAGCAAGAUCAAACUGAGGCUCUUGGGAAUCUAUUUCAGCUCAAUAUUGUGUCGAGACAUGAGAAAUAUCUAGGCUUGCCAUCGAUGAUUGGGAGAAAGAGAAGCAGUUUUUUCAAUGACAUCAAGCUGAAGGUUGCUAAUAAGAUCUCAAGCUGGCAGCAUAAAUUCUUUUCUUGCGGAGGGAAAGAAGUCUUAAUCAAAGCGGCUGUUCAAGCUAUCCCAGCCUACGCAAUGAGCGUCUUUAAAAUUCCAGGGGGUGUUUGUGAUGAUAUUCAAAAGAUGGUGGCAAAGUUUUGGUGGGGCUCCAAGAGGGAAGGGCGGAGUAUUCACUGGGCGCAGUGGGAAAAACUGAGCCAAGCCAAGUGUUUGGGAGGGAUGGGAUUUCGUGACUUCUCAAGUUUUAACCGAGCUCUUCUAGCAAAGCAAGGCUGGAGGAUUCAGCAAUGUCCAGAUUCGCUGGUGGCAAGGGUCCUGCAAGCUAGAUAUUUCCAGUCAACCAAUUUCUUGGCUGCUAAACUCGGCUCAAACCCCUCAUAUAUUUGGAGAAGUCUUCUGUGGGGGAGGAAAAUUAUUUGCGCGGGCUCUAGGUGGAGAGUUGGUAAUGGUCAGAAAAUUCAUGUUCAUAAGGCUAAUUGGAUCCCACGGGCUUCAACUUUCCAGCCAAUAGUUAAGCCAUCUCUGCCCCCUGAUGCUAUGGUCUCGGAAUUAAUCACUGAGGCAAACUGUUGGGAUGAAAAGAGGAUUUAUGAGCAUUUUGACCAUAUGGAUGCUGAUUUAAUUGCUAAGAUUCCCCUGCCUCGAAGUCCAAGGGAGGAUGAGCUGAUUUGGCAUUAUGGAAAAAAUGGCCAAUUCUCGGUUAGAAGUGGAUACCAGACAGCUCUCCAAAUGAAAUUUCCAGCCAUGGCUUCAAGCUCAGUGGUUUCCAAAAAUGAGUGGAAUAUUAUUUGGUCCCUUGCUUUGCCUCAAAAGAUCAGAAUCUUUGCUUGGAGAGCAGCCAAAAACCAACUCCCAUCAGCUGAGAAUCUGUGGAGGAAAAAAAUAAUCCAGAAUCCCAUGUGCCAAGUCUGUAAAAUAGGAACAAAAAAUGUCUUUCAUGCUCUAGUAGCCUGCAAAUCGGCUGAGAAGGUGUGGAAGCUAAUCCAUUUUGAUGAUGACAUUCGUGCAGCUCACAGUCAAGACAUUCUAAGCAUACUGCAUGCUAUGAAAAGGAUGAGAAACAGAGACGACCUGGAGCUGUUGGUAACAAUUUUCUGGGUUAAAUGGAAUGCUAGAAAUCAGAUGAUCUUCAAAGGGAAAAGGGAAACCCCCCAGAUCAUGGUAGCUAAAGCUGAAGCCUUGAUUGCUGCUUAUAAGAGGGUGCAUUCUCCAGAUGAGGCCUGCAGUGAAACAGAGCAGAAAGCACCUCCCCAGAAAUGGAACCCCCCUCAAGCUGGUUUUGUAAAAGUAAACACUGAUGCAGCCAUUUGCUUUGAAAAGAACAUUGUAGGGCUGGGGGUAGUAAUAAAAAAUGUUUUGGGGCAUGUUACAGCAGUUGCUAUCAAGGUUGCUAAGUUUCAUGGAGAUGUUUCUUAUGCGGAAGCAGAAGCCAUGGAAUGGGGUAUGUUAGUGGCGAGAGAGGCCAACAUGAAAGCUGUCAUCAUGGAAUCAGAUUCUCAAGGUGUGGUCAAUUUAGUUAACAACAAGCAGGGCAGCAGAUCAGAGAUCUAUUGGGUUGUGUCAGAAAUUCAGAAUCUAGCGGAAAGUUUCGAUCGUGUUAGCUUUAAAUACACGCCUAGAUCUUGUAAUGUUAUUGCCCACUCUUUAGCUAAACUAGCUUUAGAGAAGUGCGAGAAUGUUGUGUGGAAAGGGUCAUACCCUUCACAAGUGAUGUAUCUCUUUUCUUCUUUAGUUUAAUGGAAAUCUCUUUUCAAAAAAAAAAAAAAAAAAGUUUGGCUUCAUAAGCUUCAUAGUAGAGUGUAGAAUUAGGUACAAUUUUGGAUUAGACAAGUCAAAGGUCUUAUCAAGUAAUUGUUCUGCUUACUGAUUUGGUAAUUGCAACAUUGCUAAAUUGUUCAAUUUGUCCUUUUUAUUUUGUUGAAUUUAUUGUAUGUCAUAUUACUUGAUUUAAUUAUUUUCUCAGAUCUUGUAGGUGAAAAUUUCAGCUUCAAAGACCAAAGCUAAUCAAUCAUCCAGCAAUUCAGUGAAGAAACCAAGACACAGUGGCUCAUAAAUUGUUGUUGGUGAUUGAUCCCAGCCAUUCGGGUGCUCGCCAGUCCUAGAUUAGAAAACUUUCAACGCGGCGCAUAAAUUGCUGUUGAUCUGCUUUAUAUAUUUUGACGUUUGUGAUUUGUGAAUACAUGGUCUGAUUCCAGUGUUUACAACUUUGAAAUUCAAUUAAAAGUUGAGCUGUGAAAGAGUGUGUUGUAUAACUUGAGAAGCAAAUGAAACAAACAGAAAAUGUGUUUUUAUUUUUUUAAUCUAUCUAUGUAACAAUUUAUAGCUGGCAAAGUAAUAGAGUUGUAUACUUGUAUUUAAUUAUUUAUUAUUAUUAUUAUUAUUAUUUUUUUGUAUCCAUGGUGUUUUGUCAUUUCGAAAGUACUUGACCCUUUCACGCUAAGGCACACUCCAGCAGCCGAAACUUUGAGCUUUCAGUUCUUGAUUUUAGCGUGAGGGGUAUCUUUGUCUUUUCAGUAGUCAACACACGGUCAACAAAACAGUCUACAAACAAUCGACCUGUGAACUUGGGUCAAAGCUUUCAUCUUUAAAUCACAUAGGUAGAUCAUGAUUCAAGCUUCAGUUAUAAGCCUUUCAUUGUGAUUGAUAGUAUUCUUUCUUUGAUAUAUAUAUAUAUAUAUAUAUAUAUAGAUUCAUGGUUCUUGAUGGUAUCAUGGAAAAUGCGAACGAAAAGUCAGCAUCUUUGAGUUUUGACUCAUCUUAUCAAACUUGUUGGUCCACUAAUCAAUCAACAGGCACUUGUGAUCUUGAUUAUUUCAACUUAAGGAUGCAAAGCAGCAAUGCCAAAGAGACAUGGCAUGACGCUGAGAUUGUUGUUGAGGGCAAAUCAGUGGCGGUUAAUCGCAGCAUAUUGUCUGAGCGCAGUCAAUUUUUUCGUCGGCUUUUUAAUUUGAGAAAUGAUGGUUCUGUCAGUGAGGAGAAACCCAAGUAUCUUAUGACUGAUUUGGUGCCUCAUGGGAAGGUUGGAUAUGAAGCUUUCAAUGAUAUCCUGCUUUAUAUUUACACUGGGAAGACAAAGGCAUCUCCUCCAGAAGCGUCCACGUGUGUUGAUGACGCUUGUACUCAUGGUGCUUGCCCUCCUGCUAUUAAUUAUGUUAUUGAGUUGAUGUAUGCUUCUGCUGCUUUUCAGAUGACACAUCUCGUUUCGGUUUAUGAGGUAGUUGCGCUUCCCCGCUAUUUGCAUUGCUUAAAUUUAUGCUUGUUGGUAUAGUUUUAACAUAUAUGGAAUUGAAAUCAAUUUCGGUUGUGAAGCAACUUCGGUGGUUCCCAAUAUUAGGCAUUGUAGUAGAUCCAAAAUUAGCUUGUUGAGAAGUGUAGAUACUGUAGAGCCCAAAACUUCGUCUUAUCUUGCAAGAGUCUGUUGUUUUAUUUUGAAAGAGACAAAAGUGAUGAUGAUGGGCAGCGAACUCUAGGAAUCAAUGCUUGCUGACACUGACCCCCAAGAAUCAAUGAGUCUGAAUUUGAUAAGUGCACCUAUCCUAUCACAAAAGCUUUUGCGUUGAGUUUCUAACCAAUUUUCAUUUGUGUAGGUGUCAGUUCAUGCUCUGGCUUGACUGUUCUGUUAUUUAGGUUGUUUUAUCCGUAUUUUCUUCACUCACUUGAUGGUUAGUUCUCUCAUGCUUUCAAGCUCUCAACAGUGAAUGCGGGAGAUUCUAUUUUUCCCGUCCAGUCUAUAACCUAGCAAAUCAUUAAUGCUGUAGAAUAACAUCUUGUGUAGCCGAGUUUAUGUCUCUGAACAUUGGUCCAUCGGCAUUUAGGAUCAAUAUUAUUUUUCCCCCUCAUUAUUAUUUUCCUCCACAGAUUAUCCCCUUUGAGUAUUUGAAUUUUGAAUAUAUUAUUCUGAAUCAAAACUCUAUCUGUCCGUGUAGCAUUUUUUAUAUGCUUUACGAUGUUUACCAAUAAUUACCCACUAUGGGGUAUUUGAAUUUUGAAUAUAUUAUUCUGAAUCAAAACUCUAUCUGUCCGUGCAGCAUUGGCUUCUGAACUUGGCUGAGGAUGCGCGUGUGGAAGAUGUAAUCCCAAUUCUCGUGGCUGCCUUCCAUUGCCAACAGAACAUGCUCUGUUCUUACUGCAUCCAGAGAAUUGCAGGAUCAAAUCUUGACAAUGUUUGUCUCGAGAAAGAGCUUCCUGAUGAAGUUUCAAGAGAAAUCAAAUCACUCCGUGUCAAAUCUAACCAGGAGUCUGAAGCUAAUAUAGCAGAAGUGGAUCCUAUGCAUGCAAAAAUAGUCAGAAGAAUCCAUAAGGCGCUGGACUCUGAUGACUUUGAACUGUUGAAGCUUCUUCUGGAUGUAUCUAAUGUCACUCUGGAUGAUGCUUAUGCUCUGCACUAUGCUGCUGCCUACUGCAACCCUAAGGUUUUUAAGGAAGUGCUCAAUAUGGACUUGGCUGGUCUCAAUCUUAAGAAUGCAAGAGGUCGUACGGUGCUUCAUGUGGCUGCAAGGCGUAAUGAGCCAGAAGUGAUGGUGACUCUGCUGAGCAAGGGAGCAUGCGCAUCAGAAACUACAUCAGAUGGGCAAACAGCUGUAGCAAUCUGUCGGAGAAUGACAAGGCGAAAGGAUUAUAUUGAAGCUUCAAAGCAGGGGCAGGAAACUAACAAAGACCGGUUAUGCAUUGACGUCCUUGAGAGAGAGAUGAGAAGGAACUCCAUGUCUGAGAACUUGGCAAUGUCAUCAGAGGUGAUGUAUGAUCAUUUCCAAGCGGAGCUGGACUAUCUAGAAAAUACAGGUGAUAUUUCUUUACUGGUAUUAGUUCAUCACCUUCUCAGAGUUUGUGCAUAGCACACUUCUUUCUACUGUUUGUUUGUCCCUUCAUAUGGAAAAUAGAGGUGAUAUUCCUUUACUGGUAUUAGUAAAUCAUCUUCUCAAGAGUUUGUGAGUCCCUUCAUUUUAGCAUCUCAAACACACAUGGGCUCAUUGCUUGGGGCACACUGUUGGCCAGUCAUGUGAUUUGAUCCCCUUUUUUGGAAUAGAGAAUUAUGAAUCCAUCUGAUCUAGGCUUGGUGGUUUGCACCGAAGUGGUUUUUGAUAAAUAAUUGUACAAGACUUUGUCAUCAAAAACUUUUUUUUUUGUUUUCCAAAAGUAAUGAGGUACAAAAAUAUUUAUGCCUAUCCUGGAUGAGUGCCAUAACAGCUUCUUAAUAUUUUGCAGUGGCUUUUGUACGGUUGUUUCCUUCUGAAGCUAGAGUAGCUAUGGAAAUAGCUGGUGCAGAUACCGCCACUGGCCUUUCAGCAUUAGGUCAGAAAGGACUAAGUGGGAACUUAAAGGAGAUUGAUUUGAAUGAAACGCCCUCUAUGCAAGCCAAGAGACGCCAAUUGAGACUGCUAACUCUGCUUAAAACAGGUAUUUAUAUACUUUAUUAACUUUUGCACCUUUCUAUUUACUGAUUAUCUUUAUAAUUAACUAAUACAUGUAUCCAGGUUUCUCCUUCCAUUUCAUUAGAAGUAAAUUGGAAUCUCUUUAUAGUGCUCUGUUAGGUGUAAUCAGAUGUAUCAAAAGAGAAAGAGUAAUUGUUAGUACAUUGAUAUCUCAACAAAAUGGUGGAACCUUUCUUUAUACCACUAAAGACAUUUGUUGCAGGAUGCCUACAGAAUCAGUGUGCUUUAAAACUUUCAAGGAGUUCGCAAUGCCUAACCCUUGAAACACUAAAUCUCACGGGAUCAACUCUUUACCUCUAGACCGAAGGUGUGACACCCAGACCCAAUUAGUGCUUAGAACACAUAUCGAAUCUGAGUGAAACUAAAUGCCUGUAAAUCCAAAUCUCCAAAAUAUCAAAAAGUCAUCUACUUUCUCUUUUCAUGUAUUUCACAAAAUUUUGAAAAAUUCAUUUUCAAUCAUAAACUAUGCACAGCUAAAUAUUCAGCAUAUCAGUAUAGAGCAAUACUUCCUCAUAAGCAAAUAAAUCUUACAAUCCUUCUUACAUGAUUUUAAAAAAAUACUAAUAGAAGUCUUCUAGAUACAAACAUAAACAGAAUUCAACUGUUUAAAACUAUGCCAAAACACAAGCUUCAAUCAGUAAUACAUACGACUAAUUAUUAAAAACAUCUAGGCAGAAACCUUACGAAAGCUCAAUCCUUCCGAAGCAUUCUUCAAAUUAAUAAUUGCUACCAUCUGUGAAAAAUAAUUGACAAGGAGUCAGCUGUGAAUUCAAUCAAUAGAAACAUUUGUAACGAACAAAAAUAAUUCUUUGCGCAAUAUUUUCAGAAAAUUCAUUUAACCUUUCAAAUGAAACAGAGUAAUUUUUCUAACGCAGUCAGGAUUUAUAUAAAACACAAACGUUUCAAACAGAAGCUGUGUGGAAUGUAAAUUUUGCUUCUUUAAACAGAAAGUUAUAUAUUAGUUUGAUUUUAAAGGGAGGUUAUUGGGAAGUUAAAAUUGGCAGUUGUGGGAAAAGGGUAAUAGCAGUUAUAAAAUCUCUUUUAAAGCAAAUUCAAAUCAAGUUUCAAAUUUUAGGAGUACUUAAUUCAAUAAAAUAAGGAAUAAAUAAAGCUUUCAUUGAAACAAAACUAAGUAAAUUCAUUUAAAGCAAAAAAGGAUGGGAGCAUUACUAUGGGUUCUUAUGUUUACCCGCAGUCAGGCAUCUGGGACCUUGUUAUUUGGAGACAAGACUUGAUUGUGCCAUGUUUUCCACAGCCAGAUAUAUUUUACUUCAUUAGUUCCUAGACAUCUGUGGAUAAGAGAACCCUAAGCAUAUUGAGAAUAAAUUCCGUAAUCCAAGACUCUUCAGUUCUUUCAUUUGUGGCUAAUUAGUUAUAAAAUUUGUGAAUUUCAUGCCCCAUGCUCCUUGCAAAAUGUAUUUUAUAUCCUUAAGAUGCCAGUGGAUGAACUGAAAUAAUAAAAAAUGGAAGACAGAUUUAAUGCCGACAACAUUUCUUAAGAAAAACUUGGGAUGUUUAUAAUUUUCUUAGAGCAUUUGCUGAACUUUCUGUGAUCGCAGUCGAGACGGGUCAACGCUACUUCCCUCAUUGCUCAGAAGUGGUUGAUCACUUUAUGGAUUGGCCCUAUGCUUCCACCCCAAAAAUGGACGACGAGAAACUUAAAGUAGACGUGCAGGAGGCAUUCUGCAAGGACGUGGCUUAUCACCGUCGUAUAGGGCUGCCAUCAUCCUGGCCGGCAUUUUACCAGUACAUGGCUGAGGGCAAUCAGUCGGCAUUUUACAAGUACGUGGCUGAGAGCAAUCGUUCAGGAAUGGCGACAUCCUCGGCAGCGAGCAAUUAAGCAUCACCUUUCCCUAAAAGUUAUAUUUGACACCUGGAAAACUAAAGGAGUUGAGUGAGCUCUGCUCGAUUGGUAUUUGUAGUUUCUUUUUUUUUUCCUCAAGUGAUCUGGCAUGUAUCAAUUAGUUUGUAAAGUUAAUUGUAUUGUCUCAAGUCCGGUGAGAUGCGCGAACGUAUAGCAUGGAUCACAAACUAAUUGUAUUGUCUCAAGUGAUCACAAAAAGAAUUGUAUUACAAUUGGUAUGAGGCAUGCAUGUGUGUGUCAUAUCAGUUGCUGAACAAACUUUGCCUUUUAGUUUUGUAGGCACUACCAUCUCAAAUUCUCUGUUAUCAUGAAUGAGUAUUUUUUUUUUCUUUUUUUUCUUUUUAACAAAUCAUAAAUGAGAUUAAGAUAAUCUUUUUUUUAAAAAAAAAAAAAAUAGAGAUUUCUUUUAUUUUUCCUUAAAAAACUGAAGAAAAAUUUAGAAGGUAGUGAGAGACGGAGAAUUAAAGAAAUUUUAUUCACAAAUGUAAUGUGUUUGGUGCAGCAAUACAAACUAAUAAAUUAUAAUUUAUGAGACUAGUUUGCAAAAUCUUAUAUAUAAAAUUAUAUCAUCUGAAUAAAAAUCUUCUCACCUCUUUUGACUUCUCAUUUAGAUGUCCUCUCUAGAAUCUCUCUGGCCAUAAACACAUUUUUACAAAACAAAACAGAAGAAAUUAUAUAUAAUUCUCACAAAGACUAUUUCAUUUGCACAUAGUACGCAAUUGGUCACUAAAGUUAUUUGAGGAGAAAAUUUACAUGAGAUGGGUACAUCCUAUUAUCAGUAUUGUAAUUUAAAUUUGAACAUACUAGAAUGGUCUCUCAUAAAUUUUUCUCCAAUUUGAGAGAUGGUGGGGAAGUGGGGUUAAAGUGCAUCUGCAUAGAAUUAAUUAUAAUUAUAUUUAUUUUUUAAAACUAUUUUAACUAGAAGUAGUAGUAAUUCUUUUUAUUAUUGUUAUUCCAAUUAUAUCAAAAUCUCGUGACUCGUGAUCAAAUUAAGUAGUUCAUUAAAUUUUUUUAGGUGACGUACGGUAUGGAGUUUUUAUAAAUCUAUAUAAAUAGUAAAAUAUUUAAUUUUGUUUGUCGUAAACUUUUAAUUUGCAUGGGUUAAAAAAGAAAAAAAGAAAUUGACUUAUUAAUUAAUUAACAAUUAUAGAAAGAAUAAAAAGCAAAUUAGAGUUGCGUGAGAAAACUCUCGUGAAAAGGGUUCCAGAUUUCCUUUCCCUGGCUUCGUGCGUUUCCUGUUUGCCCUUUCGAGCACAAUUCGAAUCCAAUACUUAAUAAUAAAGAUAUAAUAUUAAAAAAUACGAAAAAGAAUCCAAAUUUUUACUGGUAUAUAAGGCAGAGCCAGUUAGAAUUCACAAACCUUAAGCAUACAAUCUGUUUGGCUAGCAGGAAAGUGACGAAGGAAGAAAGAAAAAUAAACUGAAUAAGAGAAUUUUAUUAAUCUCGAAUCACACCCUUACAUUCAAGCUUUCAUCAACUUAUAUUGCUGAUUAACAGAAGUAACAACCUCUGUAACAGCUGUCAAAUAACUAUUGGUUAAGCUAAGCUAAACAAUAACAAUCUAACUAAUUUGUCCAGCUCAGCUAUCCAGCUCAUCAAUCCUAGUCAAGUGAAUCUCAGCCAUUGAUCUGCUGCUGUUGAUUAAGCAUCUCAACACCCCUUCUCAAGCUUAAUGGUCGUGGAACAACAUUAAGCUUGUCUCUAUAGUAAUUAAAAAAAGAGUAAGCCAUAGGCUUUGUAAGCACAUCUGCAAUAUUCCACUCACUUGGUACAUACUUGAUCUCCACUUGUUUGCCCGUUACCUUUUCCCUUAUGAAAUGCACAUCCAACUCUAUGUGCUUGGUUUUGGCAUGAUAUACUGGAUUUGUUGCUAGUGCAGCUGCACCAUUGUUGUCACACCAGAUUAUUGGUAUUUGGCUACACUUCAGUUUAAGCUCUCCAAGUAAAGCUUGAAUCCAAACAAUUUCUGCACAAGCUGUUGACAAUGCUCUAUACUCUGACUCUGUGCUAGACCUUGCUACAGUUUGUUGCUUCUUGGAGGACCAUGAAACCAGAUUCUGCCCAAGAUAUACACAAUAUGCUCCAACUGACUUUCUGUCAUCCACAUCACACGCCCAAUCUGCAUCUGUAUAUGCUGUCAGACUAAUUCCAUCUCCUGCUUUAAACAUCAAUCCAUAAUCUUCAGUUGCCUUUAAGUAUCUUAGAAUUUUCUUACAAGCAACCCAGUGUUUCUCAGUUGGUGCAGCAAGAAAUUGGCUCAACUUAUUAACUGAAAAGGCAAGUUCUGGUCUUGUAAGUACCAAAUACUGUAAAGCACCUAUUAUGCUUUUAUACUCAGUGACAUUAACAAUCAAGUUAUCAUCAUUCCCUGCUCUUCUUAGUUUCUGUCCUGUACUCAUUGGAGUAUCACUUUCUCUGCAAUUUUCCAUAUCAGUUCUUGUAAGCAAAUCUCUUACAUAUUUUGCCUGUGAAAGAUGUAAGCUACCCUUUGCAUCAUGUGUAACCUCAAUACCAAGGAAGUAACUGAACUCACCAAGAUCUUUUAAAGCAAAGGUAUCUCCAAGGUAUUGGAUAAAUGUUUCAAUUACUGUAUUGUUAUCACCAGUAAUUAAUAUAUCAUCUACAUAUACUAACACAGCCACAAUACCUCCAAGUUCAUGUUUGAUGAACAAAGAUGAGUCUGCUUUGGAGUUCUGAAACCCCCACUGCAACAGUGCUUUCCUUAGCCUGUCAAACCAGGCUCUGGGAGCCUGUUUCAAACCGUAAAGAGCCUUAUGCAACUGACAAACAUGACCAGAUGGAGACUGAACAAAACCCUCAGGUUGAAACAUGUAGACAUCUUCAUUGAGCUCUCCAUUAAGGAAAGCAUUGUUGAUGUCGAUUUGUCUUAUUUUCCAGCCCUUCAUCACAGCAAGACUAAGGAUAAUUCUCACAGUUGACUGUUUAACUACUGGACUAAAGGUCUCAAAGUAGUCAAUACCAGCUGUUUGAUGAAACCCUUUUGCCACCAGCCGUGCUUUAUACUUAGAAACAGAACCAUCUGCAUUAUACUUAAUGCGAAAAACCCAUUUACACCCAACAAUUUUAGUAGCUUGAGAAGGUGGUACAAGAAUCCAAGUCUUAUUUUCCAUAAGUGCAUUAUACUCUGCCUGCAUGGCUGCUUUCCAUUUGGAAUCUGAAAGAGCUUGAGAAACUGUGGCAGGCUCUUGUUCUCCAAGAACAGAGGAAUAGGCAUGAAAUUUUGGCUUAAAUACACCUGCUUUGGCUCUUGUAAUCAUUGGGUGAUUUGGCAGUGAAACUUGAGUAGAGGAUGGUUGUUGAUUUGAAGUAUUUUGGGAUACAUAAGGAGAGGUGUGGGAGGGUGGAUGAUUUGAUUGAGAUGGUUGAAAUGGUUGAGAAGAAGGUGAUAAAGAACUAGAUGAGGAGGAAGAAGCUGAAGCUGCAGACAACUGAAAUGGUUGUAUAAUGGUGUUACUUGAGCCUGAAGGGUCAUGAAGUGGAACUGACACUGAAGAUACCUUAAACAUAGGAUAUCUAUAUUCAGAAGCAGAGGAAGAAGGUUGUUUAGAGAAAAGAGAGUCAGUAGAGAAAGGAAAUUCUGACUCAUUAAACACAACAUGCCUAGCAACAUAUACAACACCUUUUGAGCUUAGGCAUUUAUACCCUUUGUGAUCUGAGCUAUAACCAAUAAACAAACAUUUUGUAGUGUGAUAGUUGAAUUUGUGUUUGUUAUAGAAUCUCAGGUAUGGAAAACAGGAGCAGCCAAAAAACUUUAGAAAAUCAUAGUCAGGCUUGUGUUUGAAAAGAAUCUCAUAGGGAGAUUUAUUUGAUGGUAGAACAGAAGUUGGCAAUCGAUUGAUAAGAAAAGCAGAAGUUGAGAAUGCUUCCCACCAGAAACUGAGAGGUAAUUUAGCUUGUGCAAGAAGAGUCAAACCCAUCUCAACAAGAUGUCUAUGUUUCCUCUCUACUGUCCCAUUCUGGUGAUGUGUGUGAGGACAUGGAUGUCUGAAUAAAAUGCCAUGUUUUUGAAGAUAAGGCACAAAGGAUCUGAAUUCACCCUCCCAAUCUGACUGUAGGACCUUAAUGACUGUUUCAAAUUGUUUUUCAACUUGAGUUCGAAAAAUGGCAAAAACAGAUAAAGCUUGAGACUUGGUUUUCAAAGGAUAAACCCAGGCAUAUCUACUAUAAUCAUCAAUGAAACUGAUAUAGUAUCUAUAACCAUUGAGAGAAGUAAUGGGUGCUGGACCCCAUAAGUCAGUAUGGAUGAGUUCUAGAGGUGAGGUUGUUUUGUGUUCAGUUGCUCCAAAAUGCAGUUUAUGAACUUUGCCAUAUUGGCAGGCAUCACAAAAAUCAGGAAUUUGAAUUUUAUUGCUUAACUGCAAAUGUUUACAACUGGUGAGUACUUGUUUCAAGACUUUUGAACUAGGAUGACCAAGUUGCCUAUGUAGGAUAUUUAUUGAAGCACUGGAAACUCUACUGGAAUGAGACAACAGACACUGUUGAGAGGAGUGCUGAACAACUUUAGCUUGAAUAUUUGAAAAAGAACAAGACUGCAAACCAUCUGAGCAAUGUGACACCAUAGACAUAGGAACAAAACAUGACUCUUUAUUUACAGUUGAAAAUAAAGCUUGAUGAGUUUUACUUCCAGGCUCAAGUUUCAGCUUAUACAGACCCUUCAUAGCUACACCCUCCAGCAAAACUGUCCUCUUCUUCUUGUCCUUGAGAAAGCAAGUAUUUCCACAAAAUUCAAUGAUCAAGGAAUUAUCAGAAGUAAGCUUAGAAAUGCUUAAAAGAUUUUUAGUGAUGUGUGGCACAAAUAAAAGAUUUUUGAGCAAUAAUCUAUGAUUUCCAACUGCUAAAUAAGUGCUUCCUAUAUGAGAAAUAGUAAGGCCAUGUCCAUUACCAAUUAAAAGCUUUUCAUUACCUUCAUAAGGCUCACUGAUGCUGAGAUUAUUGAGAUCAUUGGUUAGGUGGUGAGUUGCUCCACUAUCCAGGUACCAGUCAUCAUCCAUUACUGCUUCUGGUGUUGCCAUAUAAGCUGACAUAUUUCUUUGAUUGUAGCCUUGAUUAAAAACUUGAUUUUGAUGUGGAUACCUUGUGACUGGAAUGAAAUCCUUGUUGAACCUAUCCUUGCAGGUAGCAGCAGUGUGUCCUAUAAUGAAGCACACUUGGUAUCUAGGUUGAUAUGGCUGUGAAAAAUGACCAGGCACAUGACUAGGCAUUUGAGUUCUCCCACCUUGAUUCCAAGAUCUUCCUCCAUGCAUGUUAUUUCCUCUUCCACCUUUCCUUCCUCGAUAGAAAUUUCCACCUUGAUUCCCUCUAAAAUUUCCUUGCAUCAUGUAUCCAGAAUUUUCAGAUCUUGAUGCAUUUUGAUUGAAACUAGAUCUUGAGUUGUAUGUUCCAAAACCUUUCUUAUUAUUGUUCCCUUUCUUAACAAAAUUUGCAGCAAACGCCAUAUUUGCAUCCAUAGUUUCAGCUAAAGCUUGUUGUUCUAACAUUCCCUCAUGUGUCAUUAACAUAGAGAGUGAUUCUGAUAAAUCGAGAUCUAAUCCUCUUCCUGUGAUCAAAACUGCUACAGGAUUGAAUUCUGAACCAAUUCCUCCUAACACACUCAUCAUAAAGUCAUAGUCACUCAUUGGUGCUCCUGCUGCUGCCAUGUUAUCUGCUAUGCCUUUCAUUUUGUGAAAAUAGUCAUAAACACUCAAAUCGUUCUUCUUUGUCAACAUCAUUUGAUUCUUCAGUUGCAAUGCUCUGGUUUUGUUUUGUGAGCCAGAAAGUUUUUCCAGAGCUUUCCAAACUUCAAAGGAAGUUUUGUAUCCGAGAACAAUUCCGAGAACACUCUCAGUCAUGGAAGAGAGUAGCCAACCUAGCAACUGCUGAUCAGUUCGCUUCCACAUCACAAACUCAGAGUUCGGAAUCCUCUGAUCUGUGCAUGGUGCUGUGAUUGAACCAUCAAUAUAUCCUUCUAAUCCAUUUCCCUGAAUGGAUGCCAAUACUUGCAUUUUCCAGAUCAAAUAAUUUGAUCUGUCGAGCUUAAUUGGUGUAGGAAAGGUAUAGGAAACAGUUGUGGUUUGAUUUAAGCUUGAUGAUGCCAUCUGGCUCUGAUACCAAGUUAGAAUUCACAAACCUUAAGCAUACAAUCUGUUUGGCUAGCAGGAAAGUGACGAAGGAAGAAAGAAAAAUAAACUGAAUAAGAGAAUUUUAUUAAUCUCGAAUCACACCCUUACAUUCAAGCUUUCAUCAACUUAUAUUGCUGAUUAAUAGAAGUAACAACCUCUGUAACAGCUGUCAAAUAACUAUUGGUUAAGCUAAGCUAAACAAUAACAAUCUAACUAAUUUGUCCAGCUCAGCUAUCCAGCUCAUCAAUCCUGGUCAAGUGAAUCUCAGCCAUUGAUCUGCUGCUGUUGAUUAAGCAUCUCAAAAGAGCCAAAGCGAUAGCGAAACAUCAAAUUGUUUUUAUUUCAACCUUCGCGCAACUUCCGGUGACAUAAUUUUUCUCUGUUUCAGGUACAUACCCAACACUAAACUUUGCAUGUAUCAUUCUUGUACUUUUGUUAUUCUUUUCUUUUCUUUUCUUUUCUCUUUUGCUGUAAUUUUUUAUGAAGCACUCUGUUUCAGUUCUGUUUCUGGUUUUGUUUCGGUUUAAUAUUAUUGGUUCGGUUCUGUUCUGCUCUGUUCUACGUCGUAUGUAUAUAUGUAUAUAUUUUUGGCCUCGAAUUGCUUUCAUCACCGGUUUUGUUAUUCAUUUAUCGUGAAAUUUAGAUGACUUGUUCGGCCAUGUUAUAUUCAGCUACCAUCUUCAUGGUGGGUUUGUAAGAUAGUCUCUGACUAACACAUGGCAUUGAUUAUGAAUGAUGGUUUUGUGAGAUACAUCAUACAGACGUUAACUCGUGUUAAUUUGUACUUACAUCAUUCAAAAGAUUACUGUUUUUCUCUCUUUUUUUUUUAAAAAAAAAAAAAAUUGAAAUGCCCCUUUUCGCAUUUUAUAGAUGAAAGGAAGAAACAUAAUAUCGCAGAACUAGAAUAAAGGAGCCUAUUCUGGUACCUAUUGUCCGAGGAACCUUCUGUAUAUUCGGUAGGAACUACCAUGGGAAGUCAAAUCUUACCAGAGCCAGGCGGAGUCGUUGCUGAAGGAAUAUAUAUUAGCAGAUCCAUUUGUCCCGUACACUUCAAUUGUUGGUAGCAUUUUUGCUUGCACGAUGGUAUGUUUGUCAUCGUUACUGCGUGGUGGUAUAUACUAGAAAAUAUUUUGAAUGCAUAGUUUUUAUUUAAUUAGUUAUAAAUUUUAUACCCUCUGUUUUCCAUAAGAAUGUGUUCCUUUUCAGGUCUAUGAUCUUGCCCAAUUGAUUAGUGUGCUGUUCACUUUAAAUCUGAUUCCAGUUUCUCCAACAUACAGCGGGUCGAGUGGAGUUUAAUCAUUUUUCUUAAAUCGACAACUUAUGCAGGGCCAUAUCAACUGUCCAUGACAUUUUUAUUACAACAAUGUCUUUGUACUUUGUGUUUUGGUCGGAUCUCAGAGUUUGUGCAUAGCACACUUGGUUCUACUGUUUGUUUGUCCCUUCAUAGACAUUUUGAUAAACUGUUAUUUUUGUUCUUUGGAAGUGAAUAUUUUCAGCAACUAGAACUCCGAAGCAUCUGGAGUGAUCCAUUUUGUCAUUCUCAAUACCUAUAAAAGAAUGUCAUAGAAAACAGUUUCCAAAGCAAGUUGCAUGUGUUUUGAAUUUGUCUUUGCAAGCCACUAAUUGCUUGGAGCACACUGUUAACCUGUCGCGAUCCCAUCCACUUUUUUGGAUAGACAAUUGUGCAUCCAUAUGAUCUGGACUAAACUAGUUUCUAAUAAAUAAUUGCCCAAGGAUUUAGUCUCAGUGUUACAGCCCAGUCUUUGUUGUCAAUACUCUUUCCCCUGUCGUGGAUGAGCGCCAUAACAGCUUCUUAAUGUUUUGCAGUGGCUUUUGCACGGUUGUUGUUUCCUUCUGAAGCUAGAGUAGCUACGGAUAGAGCGGAUGCAGAUGCCACCAAUUUUUAUACUGGCCUUUCAGCAUCAAAAUCAAAAGGAUCAAGUGGGAACUUAAAGGAGGUUGAUUUGAAUGAAACACCCUCUAUGCAAGCCAAGAGACUCCAAUUAAGAUUGCAAGCUCUGCUUAAAACAAGUAUUCAUAUACCUUAUUAGUUUUUGUACCUUUACAAUUUGUGAUUUUUGUAUCAAAAGAGAGGUUAAUUUUUAGUGCAUUUACUGAACUUUCUAUGAUUGCAGUGGAGACAGGUCGACGCUACUUCCCUCGUUGCUCAGAAAUGGUUGAUAAAUUUUAGGAUUGUGAUUGGUCCGAUGCUUCCUUCCUAGAAAAGGGUACUCCUGAAGAGCAGAGACUCAAAAGGGCACGCUUCAUGGAACUUAAAGAAGGCGUGAAGAAGGCAUUUUACAAAGACAUGGCUGAGAAAAUAUGGCUCAGGUUUGUAGUCAUCCUCGUCGUCGUCAUCUUCUCCCAAGGAAGGAGUAAAGUGUAAGGGUAGGAAAAGGUGAUGCUUAGCUGCUUGUCUUUGUUAUUCAUUUAUAGGCAACUAAAAGAGUUUUAGUGAGUUGGAUUGUUACGUUGUACAGAGAUACUCUUAGAGCCUAUGUUAUGGCUUAUGUUGUAUAAUAGCAGAGGAACUUCAAGCUUGCGUUGUUGUAUUUUCCCUGGUAUUUGGCAUGUAAUGCACUAAAUGACAAAGAAUUUUCUAAUUUUAGAGGGAAAAGUUAUGUCAGUUAAUUAUUUAUUUAUUUUGUCUGUUUAAUUCAGUUUAUAAUAUAGCUUUUUUUUUUUCUUUCCAAAAAAAUCUUCAUUUCUUCAUCUGCAAUUUAAGUCAUUUGUAACUUCUUUCAGGGAGGAGAGAGAGAAAAAAAGAAAAAGAAAAAGAAAAAGAAAAGAGUUUAUUUUACAGUACUGAUUUUCCUACAGAAAUUGGUUAAGGUGACAUUAAUGUUCUUUGAGGUGGACGGAUAUGCAGAUUUUUCGUCGAAAUUGAAAUUAGAAAUGGAUGGAUAUGCAGAAUUUUUUAAUAGAAUUUUUAUACAAAAAUUUGUAGCUCAUUACUCUCUAAAAGGAAAAAAUAAAUUUUUGAUGGUAAAUAUUAAAUUUUAAAUUUAUAAUAUAAUAACUUUGUGAGUUAAGGUGCACAAUACCCAUAUAUUAAUAAUUAAGAAAAGAAAAAAAAAUUAAAAUUUGUAAAUUACCAAUUUUUUCUUGAAAUUUGAUAUUCUAUAUUAACGUAGGUGUUGCAUGGACUGGGUUAGUACAAUUGAAAGAAACUAACUAAAGUAAAACAAAAUAUCAUUAAAAAUAUGGCAAGCUUCUCGUAUUUUUUAAGUGAAAAAGAGAAGAAAACUAAAAUUAAUUAUUGUUAUACCCAAAUUCUAGUGCUUGAAGGCCGCUGGAAUUGACCAUUGCAGUUUUGUCAUCCUCAUUAUUCACCGGCCAUCGUGGCCUUCCUCCAUUAAAAAAAUAAAUGACCAUUUUUUUGGACCACGACAUAUUAAAAAUAGUAUUGAUUAAUACUAAUAAAUCUCUUUUUUGAUUAUUUUGCAGUGCGAUAGUCCAGUGAGGGCAGUGCCCAUCGUAGCACUUCAACAUGUGGUAAAUUUCUGCCAAUCUUUGUAAAAUAAUUUUUAAAUUAUGUAUUAACCAGAUAGCUCAAUGAAAACUAUCGUUCACUAAAUCAUUACUUUAUUUUGUAUAUAUUUAUGGUAAUUGUUGAAAAGAAAAAUGUAAAGUGAGAUUAAUGAACGUUUAUGAAUGUGGAAAUUAACACAACCAGGAUUUAUGAUAAAAUAAUUUUAAGUCAAAUGAGCAUAAAUUUGUAUAAAUAUUUUUUGAAUUGUCAUAUAUAUACAAGUUUGUCACUAAUAGUAAACUUAAUUAUGAAUAUUUUAAUAAUUCAAAAUUUUAUUUAACAAUUGGUGUUUAUAGUGUUUUUCAUAAUACAAAAUUGUAAACAGUCUCAUCCUGAAUAGUAUAAUGCCAAACCUUUUCAAAAAUUUAUUCUAUUAUAGUCGUCUUAGUCAAUUAUAUUUAUUUUCAAAUUGAAGAUAAAAAUAGUACUUCAUAUAUCAUACAUUACUUAUAGUUUUUUUUUUUCAAUCAAAUUACGACUAAAAUUGAAAAAUUUACCAAUGGCUAUAUACAAAGUCUGAUUCUCAUGAGCUUAAAAGAUGGGCUUUGAAUGAUGUAUGGUACUCAAAACUCUACUUUUAUUAAUAUGAUUGCCCUGCUUCCUUCAUGACGGGUAAUUUUUAGUUUCUUCCCCUGAAGUUUGGCGUAUCUCCAUUUUAAUAGGAAGUAUUAGCGUAUCUCCCACUUUUCUCCCCUACCGUUUGUAUACCGUUUCAUAUUGUUAAUGGACGAAGCUACAAGUCUUCUCUUUCAUCAAAUCGAUCCAUAACAAAUACGAGUCUGCUUCACCUAACCAAAACACACGCAUACUCCAUCUCUAAAUGCUUUGAAGAUAAACAAAUCAACGGUAAUCCUGCAACUUUAGCUCAGAGAAUCGGAUAAGAAAAGAACAGGUGAUGAAUCAAGGGUAAUGGCGCCGAGUGAGUGUCGCCUGCGGUCGGCGUUAGAGGCGACUGUCACUCAAUCGCGUACAAGGUUAGUCUUUGAAAAAACUCUUUGCACGUUAGAAAUCAGUGAUUGGGCAUUAUUUUGUUAUUUAAAAAUGAAAAUGGGUUUAUUAGUUUGUCGAAGAAUCUGCUCUGUUGCCGGUGUUGUUUGUUGAUUAAAAUGAAAAUGGGUUUGUUGAUGUGUUGAAGAAGUUGCUCUACUGCUGGUGUUUUUUUAUUAAUUAAAAUGAAAAUGGGUUUGUUAAUUUAUUGAAGCAGCUGCUGGCAUUGUUAUUGCGACUUUAUUUAUCCAAUUGAUGAGCUUAUGAGCUAAUAGUAUUGUUUGAUCAAGCUUGUGUUCUUAAUAGUGGAGUUGAUAUUCUUAAAAAUGAAUUUAUGAUUAUGAGAAUAUGAAAAUUGAAUGGCAUCGUAGAGAUCUAGAUUAAUCACCAUCGUAUAUGUUUCUAAAUAAAGGAAUAAGCAGCAAUCUGAUUUGAAAGUUAAGACUUUAGGGAUAUGUAUGUGCAACUGAAUGAAUCAUCAGUUGCUAUCUUGUAAGUCAAUACUAGCAUAUUACUUAAUGGCAAGUGAAGCUAUUUUAUGUGUAUUGCUGCCUAUCAAAAUGUUUAUGUUUGAAGUUAUCUCCUUUUAGGAAAUUGAAUGCUUCUGUGAGUUCUCUGGUAAGGGCUAUACAACUAGCUCUAAUAGAUUCCUUCAUGUGCAUUAAUUAGCUUAGUAGUUUAUUGACCUAUAUCCAAUGUCUAUUCUUCUUUUCUGUAGCCGUCUAGUUUUAUGAGUGUGUGAAGUGAACUUUUGUUUUAUGUUUCAGGACUUGGGAUUAGAGUGUAUAACAUUCAAUAUCUUUUUAUCAAAGAACUGAUAUAUGUCAAUGUAGUGCGAUCUGGUCUUUAUUAGCUUCUUGAUUUGCCAGGAUGUUUGACAACCAUCUUUGACCAUGAUUGCCAACAUAUAAGCUGCUACAUAGUGUCUCAGGAAUCACAGCAAAUUAUUAUCAUAAUAUGGUGAUUUUGAAUCCAAAACUUGGUAGUGUCAAGAAAAUAGACCCAUGUUUAUUUAUCUUCAUGUUUUGUAUGCGGCUGCAAUAGACUAUUAUAAGUUACUUUUAGUUUUAUCAAGUUUUUUUUUCCUUAAAUUUCAUCGAGUCUUGGAGUCUUUGUAAUAUAGAGUCUAAGUGAAGAAUACUUGGGUGAAAUCUUGUAUUCUCUCUUCCAGUAAUAUAAUCAUCCUUUGUGUUUUUAUCUUUUUAUUUUGGUAUCAGAGCAUACUUUAUUAUAGAAGGACUUAGACUCUAUAUUACAAAGACUCAGCGGUUUCUUUUAACUGAGUUAAUAGUGUUGUUAUGUUAAACUAAGUUUGGCUUCAUAAGAUUCAUAGUAGAGUGUAGAACUGGGUACAAUUUUGGGUUAGACAAGUCAAAAGUCUUCUCAAGUAAUUGUUCUGCUUACUGAUUUGGUAAUUGCAACAUUGCUAAAUAGUUCAAUUUGUCCUUUUAUCUUGUUGAAUUUAUUGUAUGUCAUAUUACUUCAUUUAAUUAUUUUCUCAGAUCUUGUAGGUGAAAAUUUCAGCUUCAAAGGCCAAGCUAAUCAUCCAGCAAUUCAGUGAAACCAAGACACAGUGGCUCAUAAAUUGUUGUUGGUGAUCCAGCCAUUCGGGUGCUUGCCAGUCCUAGAUGAGAGAACUUUCAACGCGGCGCAUAAAUUGUUGUUGAUCUGUUUUAUAUAUUUUGACCUUUGUGAUUUGUGAAUACAUGGUUUGAUUCCAGUGUUUACAACUUUGAUACUGUGUAUAACUUGAGAAGCAAAUGAAACAAAUAGGAAAUGUGUUUUUAUUUUUUUUAUUCUAUCUAUCUAUUUAUUUUUUUGUUUCGAAAUGUAACAAUUUAUAGCUGGCAAAGUACUAGAGUUGUAUACUUGUAUUUAAUUCAUUAUUAUUAUUUUUUUAAUGACUCAGUAACGUCAUUGUCCAUGGUGUUUUGUCAUUUCGAAAGUACUUAACCCUUUGACGCUAAGGCACAUUACAGCUAGGGAUGGCAAUGGGGAGGGGAGGGGAGGGGAUCGAUCUCCCCGUACCCAUCCCUGAUAUUUUGCAUAUGUCCAUGUCCCCGUCCCCGUCAGAAUUACUUGAGAGAAUCCCCAUCCUCUCUCCGAAUAAUAACAGGGGAUCCCCGAAUAACUAAUACAUUUUUAUUUUUUUUUCGAUUUUGAGUUAAUCAUAUUAAAAUAAAAAAUUUAAAUAAAAGUAAAGUUCGAAAUAUAUCUUACAUUAAUAUCUAUUACAAAAGUUACAUACAUUAAAUUAGUAAGUAACGCAACAUGCAAGGGAUACAAACUUCUUUUACAAACUAUCAUGAAUAAAUUAAUAGUCUAAUACAAAAUUGUUACAAAUAAAAUUGAAUUUAGAUUCAAAAUUAACUUUUUCAAUAGUGGCGUGGGCACUUUAUAAAUGUGGACUAUUCCCUUUACAACACAAUAGUUAAAUCGGAGCAAAUCAAAAGUAAAUAUUAGAUUAGAUUAGAUUAAAUAUUAAAAUUGUGAUUCGCUGUGGGCAAUUAUAACAUCUAAAAAUAAAUAAAAAAUAGAUUUAAGUUUAAAAUAUUUAAAGAAUAUUAAAAUUAAAAAAAAUGUUGGGCUAAUAGAAUAUACUCGGUCUUUUUAAUGUCCUAAAUAAAAAUUUAGGACUUUAAUUAGUUAAUUAGGCCUAAAAAUUUAAUAAUAUAAAUAUUUUGAUAUUUUUUAUUUUUACCAAUAUUUAUAAUUUAAAUUUUAUUAUUUAUUUACUAGUAAUUUUAAAAAAUUAAAAUAAAAUUAAAAAUUAAAAUGGGGAAAUGGGUAGGGGAUGGGGAUUCCACCUCAUCCCCGUCCCCUCCCCGAAUAAGAAAUUGGGUAAAAAAAUUUCUUCGUCCCUUUCCCGAAUAAGAAAUUGGAUAUGAAAUUAUUCGUAUACCCUCCCCGAAUGGAAAAAAAUACCCGAGAGUACCCGUCUCCAUGAGGAUUUUUGCCAUCCCUAAUUACAGCAGCCGAAAUUUUGAGCUUUCAGUUCUUGAUUUUAGCGUGAGGGGUAUCUUUGUCGUUUCAGUUGUCAACAAACAAUUUGGGGGGGGGGGGGGGGGGGGGGGGGGUGGGUUGUUGGAGAUACGCUGAUACUUUCUAUCAUACUGGAGAUACACCUAACCUCAGGGGAGGAAAAUUACACCUUUACGACGUGUGAACUUGGGUCAAACUUUCAUAUUUUAAUCAAGUAGGUCGAUCACGAUUCAAGCUUCAGUCAUAAGCCUUUCGUUAUGAUUGAUAUUAUUCUUUCUUGAUAGUAUCAUGGAAAAUGCAAACGAAAAGUCAGCAUCUUUGAGUUUUGUCUCAUCAUAUCCGACUUGUUGGUCUACUAAUCAAUCGACAGGCCCUUUUGAUCUUGAUAAUUUGAACUUAAGGAGGCAAAGCAGCAAUCCUGAAGAGCCAUUGCUUGAUGCUGAGAUCGUUGUUGACGGCAAAUCAGUGGCAGUUAAUCGCAGCAUAUUGUCUGCACGCAGUCGUUUUUUUCAUUGGCUUUUUCAUUUGAGCAGUGAUGGUUCUGUGAGUGAGGGGAAACCCAAGUAUCUUAUGACUGAUUUGGUGCCUUAUAGGAAGGUUGGAUAUGAAGCUUUUAAUGAUAUCUUGCAUUAUCUUUACACUGGAAUGCGUAAGGCACCUCCUUCAGAAGUGUUCACGUGUGUUGAUGAUACUUGUGUUCAUCUUGUUUGCCCUCCUGCUAUUAAUUAUGUUAUUGAGUCGAUAUAUGCUUCUGCUGCUUUUAAGAUGACAGAGGUCGUUUCGGUUUAUGAGGUAGUUGCGCUUUCCCGCUACUUGUAUUGCUUAAAUUUAUGCUUAUUGGUAUAGUUUUAACAUAUGUGGGAUUGAAAUCAAUUUCAGUUGUGACUUGCAAAGAGCCAAAGAAUCUGUUGUUUUAUUUUGAAAGAGACAAAGAUGAUGAUGAUGGGCAGUGAACUCUAGGAAUCAAUGCUUGCUGACACUGACACCCAAGAAUGAUAAAAACUAACCAAAAAGGUAUAUAGAUUACAUGAGUCUGAAUUUGAUAAGUGCACCUAUCCUAUCGCAAAAAGCUUUUGCGUUCAGUUUCUAACCAAGGAAAAUUGUCACUUCUGUCUGUAGGCUUCAUAGAUUUGUUCAAGCCUUCAAGGAUGUCUAGCUGUUACUUAGGGUCCAACAAUGGUGCUACAUUUCUAGUGAAUGAUAUGUUAUCUACAUCUGUAUAUUGGAACUUUGACAAACUUCGCCUUUCCUUUGUUGAUACACUCGUCUCACUUUUAUUAAAUUGCCUGAUUAUGAAAUGGUCUAUUGGAGACUAGCAUUGGAAGGUUUCUUCUGGAGAAAAUUUUACUUGCCACCAAUUUUCAUUUUGGUCGGUGUCAGUUCAUGCGCUGGCUUGAUUGUUCUGUUAUUUAGGUUGUUUUAUCCGUAUUUUCUCACUAUCUUGAUAGUUAGUUCUCUCAUACUUCCAAUCUCAGCAGUGAAUGCGAAAGAUUCUCUUUUUCCUGUCCAGGUUAUAACCUAGCAAAUCAAUAAUGCUGUAGAAUAACAUCUUGUGUAGGUGAGCUUAUGUCUCUGAACAUUGGUCCACCGGCAUUUAGGUUCGAUAAGCAUGGCAUUGAUUUUCCCCCUCAUUGUUAUUUUCCUGCACAGAUUACCCCCUUUAAGUAUUUGAAUUUUGAAUACAUUAUUCUGAAUCAAAACUCUAUACGUCCGUGUAGCAUUUUAUAUAUGCUUUAUGAUAUUUACCAAUAAUUACCCACUGCGAGGUAUUUGAAUUUUGAAUAUAUUAUUCUGAAUCAAAACUCUAUCUGUCCGUGUAGGAUUGGCUUCUGAAGGUGGUUCGGGAGGCUCUUGUGGAAGAUGUAAUACCAAUUCUCGUAGCUGCCUUGCAGUGCCAACUGUACCCACUCUGUUCUUUCUGCAUCCAGAGAAUUGCAAGGUCAAAUAUUGACAAUGUUUGUCUCGAGAAAGAGCUUCCUGAUGAAGUUUCAAGUCAAAUCAAAUCACUCCGGGUCAAAUCUAACCAGGAGUCUGAAGCUAACAUAAAAGAAGUGGAUCCUAUGCAUGAAAAGAGAGUCAGAAGAAUCCACAAGGCGUUGGACUCUGAUGAUUUUGAACUGCUGAAUCUUCUUCUGAAUGAAUAUAAAGUCACUUUAGAUGAUGCUUACGCUCUGCACUAUGCUGCUGCCUACUGCAACCCUAAGGUUUUUAAGGAAGUGCACAAUAUGGGCUUGGCUGAUAUCAAUCUUAAGGAUGCAAGAGGACGUACGGUGCUUCAUGUGGCUGCAAGGCGUAAGGAGCCAGAAGUGAUGGUGGCUCUGCUGAGCAAGGGAGCAUGCUCAUCAGAAACUACACCAGAUGGGCAAACAGCUGUAGCAAUCUGUCGGAGAAUGACAAGGCGAAAGGAUUAUAUUGAAGCUACAAAGCAGGGGCAGGAAACUAACAAAGACUGGUUAUGCAUUGAUGUCCUUGAGAGAGAUAUGACAACGAACUCCACGUCUGGGAACUUGGCAAUGUCAUCAGAGGUGAUAGAUGAUGUUUUCCAAAUGAAUCUGGACUAUCUGGAAAAUAGAGGUGAUAUUUCUUUACUGGUAUUAAUUCAUCACCUUCUCAGAGUUUGUGCAUAGCACACUUCUUUUUACUAUUCGAUUGUCCCUUCAUCUUAGCAUCUCAAACACAAAUGGGCUCAGUGCUUGGAGCACACUGUUGGCCAGUCAUGUGAUUUGAUCCCUUUUUUGGAAUAGACAAUUCUGAAUACUGGUCUAGGCUUGGCGGUUUGCACUGAACUGGUUUUUGAUGAGUAAUUGCACAAGACUUUGUCAUCAAAACUUUUUUUUUUGGUUUUUUUUCCCCAAAAGUAAUGAGGUACAAAAAAUUUUUUGCCUAUCCUGGAUGAGUGCCGCAACAGCUUCUUAAUAUUUUGCAGUGGCUUGUGUACGGUUGUUUCCUUCUGAAGCUAGAGUAGCUAUGGAAAUGGCAGGUGCAGAUAUCGCCACUGGCCUUUCAGCAUUAGGUCGGAAAGGACUAAGUGGGAACUUAAAGGAGGUUGAUUUGAAUGAAACGCCCUCUAAGCAAGCCAAAAGAUGCCAAUUGAGACUGCUCACUCUGCUUAAAACAGGUAUUUACAUACUUUAUUAACUUUUGCGCCUUUCUAUUUACUGAUUAUCUUUAUAAUUAAAUAAUACAUGUAUCCAGGUUUCUCCUUCCAUUUCAUUAGAAGUAAAUUGGAAUCUCUUUAUAGUGCUCUGUUAGGUGUAAUCAGACGUAUCAAAAGAGACAGGGUAAUUGUUAGUACAUUGAUAUCUCAACAAAAUGGUAGAACCUUGCUUUAUACCACUAAAGACAUUUGUUGCAGGUAUGCCUACAUAAUCAGUGUCCUUUAAAACUUUCAAGGAGUUCGCAAUGCCUAACCCUUGAAACACUAAAUCUCACUAGAUCAACUCUUUACCUCUGGACUGAAGGUGUGACACCCAGACCCAAUUAGGGCUUAGAACACAUAUCGAAUCUGAGCGAAACUAAAUGCUUGUAAAUCCAAAUCUCCAAAAUAUCAAAAGGUCAUCUACUUUCUCUUUUCAUAGAUUUCACAAAAUUUUGAAAAACUCAUUCUCAAUCAUAAACUAUGCCCAGCUAAUUAAUCAACAUAUCACUAUACAACAAUACUUCCUCAUAAGCAAAUAAAUCUUACAAUCCUUCUUCCAUGAUUUAAAAAAAAAAAAAGAAAUAGUUCUAGAAGUCUUCUAAAUACAAACAUAAACAGAAUUCAACUGCUAAAACUGUGCCAAAAUACUAGCUUCAAUCAGUAAUACACACGACUAAUUAUUAAAUCAGUAAUACACGCGACUAAUUAUUAAAAACAUCUAGCUAGAAACCUUAUGAAAGCUCAAUCCUUCCGAAGCAUUCUUCGAAUUAAUAAUUGCUACCAUCUGUGAAAAAUAAUUGACAAGGGGUCAGCUGUUAACUCAAUCAGUAGAAACACUAAUAAUGAACAGAAAGAAUUCUUUGUGCAAUAUUUUCAGAAAAUUCAUUUAACCUUUCAAAUGAAACAGAGUAAUUUUUCAAACACAGUCAGGACUUAUAUAAAAUAUAAACAUUUCCGACAGAAGCUUUUUGGAACGUAAAUUUUGCUUCUUUAAACAGAAAGUUAUACAUUAGUUUGAUUUUAAAGGGAGGUUAUUGGGAAGUUAAAAUUGGCAGUUGUGGUAAAAGAGUAAUAGCAGUUAUAAAAUCUCUUUAAAAACAAAUUCGAAUCAAGUUUCAAAGUUUGGAAGUACUUAAUUCAAUAAAAUAAGGAAUAAAUAAAGCUUUCACUGAAACAAAACUAAGUAAAUUCAUUUAAAGCAAAACCGGAUGGGAGCAUUACCUAAGGAUUCUUGACCAUACCAUGUUUACCCGCAGUCAGAUAGCUGGGACCUUGUUAUUUGGGGACAAGACUUGAUUGUGCCAUGUUUUCCGCAGCCAGAUAUCUUUUACUUCAUUAUUUCCUAGACAUCUGUGGAUAAGAGAACCCUAAGCCUAUAGAGAAUAAAUUAUGUAAUCCAAGACUCUUCAGUCCUUUCAUUUGUGGCUAAUUAGUUAUAAAAUUUGUAAAUUUCAUGCCCCACGCCCCUUGCAAAAUGCAUUUUAUAUCCUUAAAAUGCCAGUGGAUGAACUGAAAUAAUAAAAAAUGGAAAACAGACUUAAUGUUGGUAGCAUUUCUUAAGAAAAACUUGGGAAGUUUAUAAUUUUCUUAGAGCAUUUGCUGAACUUUCUGUGAUCGCAGUCGAGACGGGUCAACGCUAUUUCCCUCAUUGCUCAGAUGUGGUUGAUAAGUUUAGGUAUUGCAACCGCCCUCAUUGCUCAGAAUUGAUUGAUGAGUUUUUGGAUUGUGAUUGGUCCGAUGCUUCCCUCCUAGAAAAGGGUACUCCUGAAGAGCAGAAACUAAAAAGGGCAGGCUUCAUGAAACUUAGAGUAGACAUGCAGGAGGCACUCCGCAAGGACGUGGCUUAUCACCGUUGUUCAGGGCUGCCAUCAUCCUGGUCGGCAUUUUACAAGUACAUGGCUGAGAGCAUUCGUUCAGGUAUGCCGACAUCCUCAGCAGCGAGCAAUUAAGCAUCACCUUUCCCCAAAAGUUAUAUUUGACUCCUGGGAAACUAAAGAGUUUAGUGAGCUUGAUUGGUAUUUGUAGUUUUUUUUCCCUCAAGUGAUCUGGCAUGUAUCAAUUAGUUUGUAAAAUUAUUGUAUGGAUCACAAACUCACAGAAUAUUUUUUUUGUAAAAUUAUGUAAUUUAUAGGCUAUGCUCAAAAAAUUAGAAAAAGAAAAAAGAAUUGUAUUACAGUUGGUAUGAGACAUGCAUGUGUAAGAUAAUCUUGUUUUUUUGUUUUUUGAAACUGGAAACUUCAUUAAAAGGCAAAGAUUACAGAGAAGUAAGUAACCAAGGAGGUGGAACAUGACUCCACUCCUUAAAGCCCGACAAAGAAUCCCCCACCCGGGCAGUAACAUGGGCAGCAGUGUUCGCAGACCUUCGAACAAAAGAGAAUUCAAUAUCUCCUAUAGACUUAGCUAAAGCUAGACAAUCAUCAAGAAUAAGACCACACCAAUUAGGACAAGAAUAACUUUAUGUGAGAGCUUUAAAAACCUGAAUGCAGUCCAUUUCAACUACAACACAUAUAAUCUUUUGUUUUAAAAAACAGAAAACUGGAGAUUUCUUUUAUUUUUCCUUAAAAAAUGAAGAAAAUUUUAGAAAGUAGUGAGAGAAAUAAAGUAAUUAUAUUCAUAAAUAUAAUGUGUUUGCUGCAGCAACACAAACUAAUAAAUUAUAAUUUAUGAGAUUAGCUUAGAGAAUCAUACAUAUAAAAUUAUAUUCUUUGAGUAAAAAUCUACACAUCUCUUUUAACUUCUCAUUUAGAUGUUCUUUCUAAAAUCUCUCCAGCGAUAAAUACAUUUUUAUAAAACAAAACAGAAAAAAAAAAUAUAAUUGUUUAUAAGGGGACUCACCUAUGUUGCAACAGUGAUAUUAUACCGCGGUUUUGUCUUUAUCUCAUGUUACCAUUAGAUUUUAAAGCAAGUGAUCCAACGCACAAGAGAUGGCCACGUUUCUAUUAAAGCAAACUGGGAAAUUCGGUUAAGAAAAGGUAAAAUUACUUGUAACAGAACUCACCGUGGGUUACUCAACUUUGCUCUGUGAAAAUGCACGGUUGCCUGUUGCAUAAGGAUUGUAGAGAUGUAAGCCCACAGUGACUGUGUCUGUGCUCAUCGCCACCUCGAAGUUGCCAAGGGAGCUUCCCCUUUUCGGCCGUCAUGUCCGACAGGAAAAUACCAAGCUCCACCGGCGCUCUCAUUUGUCGCAAGGGUUUAAAGGGUUUCAAUUAUUGAAUGAGCAGAAGAAAAUUUAUUGAAAGAGAGAGUGUAAUUAUCAGAAAUUGGUUAGGCAUGGAAUGUUUAAUAUUCUUUUCUUAAAUCUUAAAUCAUUUUGGGUAUUUGGGUGCUUGUGAAUUUUAUUUUCUUGUAAUGAAUUUAUGAAUAUUUUUACUUGGGAUUUGUCUCGGUGAAAAGUUUAUUUUAUUUUAUUUAUUUGUGGAUAAAUGAAGUUGAUGUUUUUGGUAUUAUAAAACUAGGUUGUUUGUAGGCGUUGUAAGAAUAUUGACAUAUUAUGCCAUGUUUGUCAAUCUAAAUAAAAUAUAAGAAAACCCGUUUGCUUGUUCUCAUGUAGCUUUGAGAUUUGUGAGUCACUUUGUAGUGGGUUGCAACAUGGUUUGUCGUUGAAAAUGAAUUGGCUGUAAAGGGUGAAAUGAUGCUGAAGAUAAGUUGAAAUUGAAUUCAUUAAAGUGGUUUGAGCACUAAGGUAAUCAUCCACACUGUAAUACUUUUUUAAUAUGCAUAAAAAAGAAAGAAAUAUGAAGUUUUAUAUACAGGUUUACUUGUUUUAGGUGGCUGAAACUUUGUUUAGAUGCCAUCUUUUUCCUUUCAACUGGCAAAUAUUGACAAUGCUGAGUACUACACAUGGUUAAUUAGGGAUAUAGAGUUUGUUAGUUUGGUCAUUGAAGUAUAGAUUGAAAAAAUGCAUAAUAUAUAUGUUUCAACAUUUAACCACUUUUCAAUGAGGUAGCUACUUUACUUGCUAGUUCAAUUUUUAUGGGAUUGGUGUUUUUUCUGUUUGACAUGCAUUAUACAUUUAUCAAUUUUACCAAGAUAAGAGUUGCAUAAAUCUGUUGAAAUAUUUCAUUCGAGGAUCGGUUUAAGAGUGUUUUUCUGCAGAACUUAGAAAAUGUAUUCUUGAAUGCUCUGUAUUCGGGCUUUAUAAUUUGUUAAAAUUUUGAAAAAAGAGGGCAAUCAUUUAUUUACAGAUUGAAAGCGAAAACGACUUGAUCCCCAUCCCUGACGUCCCCCCAUCGCAGUGAUAUGGACCUAUAAAGUGCAUCUCAGUACAUUGAUUGAGUUGUUAUCUAACCCCUUAAUUGAGUUGAUUGAUUGUCUGGGUAUUUUUAAUUUUUUUUUGUUAUUAGUGGAAUUUUGAUUUAUUGGAAUGCAAAAAUGAUGAUUUUUCAAUUUUUUUUUUUUUUUUCUAGGGGAUUGGUUGUGAGCAUAAUCAAAUUACUUAGCUAAAUCAAAGAGAUGGCUACUAUUGGUUAGCUGGGAACUAUUUUUAUCUGACUGACCUCUAAGCUGAUAAUUCUAAUCCAUUAUGAUUUAUUGGUUUUAUCUGCAUGUGGAUUAUUGCAUUGAAGCAUCAGUUAGUUGCUGUAGAUUAGUUUUCUACCAAGUAUUAUGUACUUCAGUAAAAUUCUGAGGGUGAUAAUUGUUAAAUCUCGCUUAAAUUCCAUUCAUGUGAGCAAGAUACAAUUUUGUUCUAAUUUUCUUCUAAACUUUUAUAUGGUGGAAAUCUUCUUAGAAUUAAGAUUGUUGUGCAUUCUUCUUGUAUUUGCUCAGUUGAUGAAUUUCACAGAGUUGCCUGUAUUCAUUGUUGUGUGAAGACAUCAUGUAUGGUUUGCUAUCGUGUCUUGCUUGAUUCUACUUCAUGUGAACUCAUCUCCCACAUUCUGAGCACUGCUAUAUUGUUUUCCGAAAGUUAUUGAGCAUUUUGCAAAUCAAGUUUAUUACAAUUGCUUCUUAUAUAGACGAAGUGUAAUAACUUACAACUGGUACUAAGACUACUUUAUAUCCCUUAUCCCACUAGAAAGAAGGCCCUUAUGUUCCUAAAUUAUAUGUUCUCCUAUUACAUAUUACAAGCUAGGAUAAAGCAAUGAUACAAGCUAAUCAGGUACGAUGCAACCAAAAAUUUCAAUUUUAAAUUUAUUCUUGUUAUUUUACAUUGAAAUAGAAUUAGAAUGAGAAUCCUUCAGUGUCAAAUGGGAAGUUUGAAACAAAUUUUGCAGGAUCAAAAGGGAAUUGGCGGCUAAAUUGCUGGCUGAUUGUAACAUAGCUCAGGGAGAUCAAAUUCUGAUUGCUGCAGAUUAUGAACAUCUCCAAAGUUCAUCUGGUAUUGUGAAAUGUAAUAAAAGUUUGAUUUAGCUGUGGCAUGAGGCAUAAAUGAUGAGGAUUAGUGGCUGAAUUGGUGACUAAUUGUAGCUUAGGGAGAUUAGAUUCUGAUUGUAGCUCAGGGAGAUCAGAUUCUGAUUGCUGCAGAUUAUGAACAUCUCCAAAGUUCAUCUGGUAUUAUGAAAUGUAAUAAAAGUUUGAUUCAGCUGCGGCAUGAGGCAUAAAUGAUGAGGAGAAACCACCCAAGAAAUUAUUCUCAUCAAGCAUCGAAGACGAAAAGCAAUGGUCAUUGCUAUGUGUGUGUUCAAAUGAUGUCGUCAGAAAAGAUAGAAGAGAUGCAAUCUCUUUAUUGUCCAAGUACUCAUUAUUAACACCUGAGCCUUUUUUAUGAUUGUUACUAUGGUGGCUUAGUUUUUGUUCAUGUUUUUAUCGCGAUGUUGGUUGUGGAAUCGAUUGGCUGCCACUGAAACAAAUGUGUUCCUCUGUAUGUGACCUCAAAUAUGAAGGGGUCUUCAUCUGAUCUUUGCAAUUGCUUUUUAACCCAAUAGUUUUGUGUAUUUUUGUAGGUGUAUCUGUAAUAGCUUCUGCAAAUCCAAAUUAAUAAUAAUAAUAAUAAAAGCUCAUAAUCAGACUUAUCAAUAAGAAAAACUCGUCAAUUAAAAAAAUUAAAUGUGAUAAGAGGAAAUACUUUUCACCUGGGAUAUUUGGCCCCAAGGAUAUCUUUCUAGCCAUAUCUUCUCCAUCUAUAUCUAUCUGCAAGGGGUCCUUCAAGGCCACUCUCAAAGUCAACUUUAUCUGUCCGUCUUGGCAAUGUCUUUAUGCAGCACAAUUUUGCAAUAACCAUUAACAAGAAAAUAACUUGCAGACAUUCACAGGGUAAAUAAAUAUUCAUUUAAGAUUACAAAUUCACCUUUGCUUUGAUCUAUCUUGAUUAUCCUUCAAAGCCCCAUCAAAAUCCUCACUUUAAGGGCUCCUAUUGAUGGAUAUUGGAGACUCAGGUAGUGCACUACUAGUUGCUCCCAUAACUUGAGCCUGUCCCAUUGAGCCACUCUAUUUCAGAAUCAAAAGAGCUUUCUCAUUUGAAGACAAUAUCAUCUGCACUAGUACUUCACUUGUUUCGGCUGAUAUGUGAAUAUGGUUAAUGCUACAGGUGGCAUUGAGGCAUAACGUAAGGACCAAAUUUCAAACACUACAAAACCAUAUCAAAAAAAGUUUGCUCUUCCAGCGCGAUCUUUCUCAUUUGCCUUGGCAAUAACAUUCAAAGCAAAUCUCUCCAGGAACAAAUUGCCUUCAGGCCCCAACUUCAAUGACUUCUUAUCUUGCAAAGGACUAAUAUCAUUCUCACCAAUUACGAAAAAUACAUAAUGAUGAAAGGAACCAUAAAUCUGGGAGAGAACAAAUACAUUAAAAUUUUAUUGCCUCAAAUUUUACAUUUAACUGAAUAGCAGUCACAAUGUGAGAAAUUUCAAAAAAAGUCAGUGAAAUGAAAUAACCAAAAGGAAGCUCCACAACUCAAAACUACAUAAAUCAUUCGAUACCUUAAAAACACUAGACAACAACCUUAAAAACUACAUAAUCCUGCUGCAUCCGCUUCGAAUGACACAACAACAAAUAAAAAUUGUAUUGAUUAAUAGUAAUAAAUUACAGUUGGUAUGAGACAUGCAUGUGUAAGAUAAUCUUUUGUUUUAAAAAACAGAAAACUGGAGAUUUCUUUUAUUUUUCCUUAAAAAAUGAAGAAAACUAUAGAAAGUAGUGAGAGAAAUAAAGUAAUUAUAUUCAUAAAUAUAAUGUGUUUGGUGCAGCAACACAAACUAAUAAAUUAUAAUUUAUGAGAUUAGCUUAGAGAAUCAUACAUAUAAAAUUAUAUCCUCUGAGUAAAAAUCUUCACAUCUCUUUUAACUUCUCAUUUAGAUGUCCUUUCUAAAAUCUCUCCAGCGAUAAAUACAUUUUUAUAAAACAAAACAGAAAAAAAAAAAAAAAUAUAUAUAUAUAUAUAUAUAUAUAUAUAUAUAAUUGUUCAUAAGGACUAUUUGUACAUAGUACACAAUUGGCCACCAAAGUUAUUUUGGGAGAAAAUUUACAUGAGAUGGGUACAUCACAUCAUCAGUAUUUUUGUCUCAAUUUCAACAUGCGUCUGUUGUACGAAUCUUACGAGAAUGGUCUCUCAUAAAUAUGAGAGAUGGUGAGGAGUGGGUUAAAGUGCAUCUACAUAGAAUUAAUUAAAAUUAAAAUUUUAUUUUUUUUAACUAUUUUUAAUUAAAAGUAGUAGUUAUUCUUUUUAUUAUUGUUAUUCUCGUUAUAUCAACAUCAAGUGACUGGUGAUCAAAUUAAGUAGCUCAUUAAAUUUUUUAAGUGACGUAUGUUAUGGAGUUUCUGUGCAUCUAUUUAAAUAGUAAAAUAUUUAAUUUUGCUUGUUGUAAAAUUUUAAUUUACGUGGGUUAAAAAAGAAAAAAAAAAGAAAAAAGAAAUUGACUUAUUAAUUAAUUAACAAUUAUAGAAAGAAUAAAUUGAAAAUUGUAGUUGGGUGAGAAAACUAAUUCCUUUCCCUGGCUUCGUGCGUUUGCUUUUGCCCUUGCGAGCACGAAUUUGAAUCCAAUACUUUAUAAUAAAGAUAUAAUAUUAUUAUAAUACUAAUAAUUAACAUUAAAAUAUUAUUUAUGCCAGUAUUAAAGUAGUAAAUAUCUAAUUUUAAGAUUAUGGAAAGCUCCGAAAAAUCCGGACGUGGAAAAAACCCUAGCGCUGGAGGAAUUUUCCCUCCGCCGUUCAGGGAAACUAGAACCACUAAGAAAGCACGGUUUCGUGAUGAGGAGGUUGCUGAUGAUACCCCUGUGCAUGUCUCGUAUAAGGAAACCCUCGUGAACUCAUCGCGAGCAAUGGAGACGGGUUAUGGUGGCGAAACAGUGGACUGGGAGUUUGAGGAAGGGGAUGUGACUGAGAAUAAAGAUGGACCUAUGCCUUCCAUAACCUUCUCGGAUAGGGUUCAUGAGAAGUUAUGUGCGCCAUGGAAGAACUCAGUGAUAGUGAAGUUGCUGGGCCGGACAAUCGGAUAUAAAACACUCUGUACGAGAUUGAAUGCUAUGUGGAAAACAACAAUGAGUUACUCGGUGAUCGACUUAGAAAACAACUAUUUCCUGGUUCGUUUUCGUUCGGCUAAUGAUGCUGUUGAUGCCCUCACAAAAGGCCCUUGGAUUAUCAUGGGACAUUAUCUCACGGUGCAGCCAUGGACGCCAUCUUUUGAUUUCAAUACAACGGAUAUGGAUCAAGUUAAUGUAUGGAUCCGUUUACCUGGACUCGCUGUUCAUCUAUAUAACCAGAAAAUUCUUCAAAAGCUCGGACAGUUGGUGGGUACAGUGAUUAAAAUUGAUUCGAACACAGCUUCCUCUGCGCGUGGGAGAUUUGCCCGACUUGCAGUUAGUCUCUCCCUGGCUAAGCCUUUAGUUUCUCAGUUUGUGUUGGAUGGUAAGGUACAGAAGGUAGAGUAUGAGAGGCUGCCAGUGAUUUGCUUCACAUGUGGUAGAUACGGCCAUAGUAGUAGCAAUUGCAAGGACUCGAGUUCAAUAAACAAUUCUGGAGAGGGUGCUCAACCACAACCUAAUAUGGAACGUCAGGAGAUCCCUAUCAAACUAGAUGAACAUUGUAAUGAUGCUAGUAUUGCCGAGCCGUUUGGACCAUGGAUGAUAGCCACGAGAAAAGGCAGAAAAUUUAAUAGUGGCAAGGACAUGACCAAUGGUUUUCAUAGGAACCGUGAGACUAUAGGGGCUAAUUUGUCCAGAUUCCAAAUAUUAGAGCAGGUCACUGACGACCGUGAGAACCCCUUCCAUGCAGCUAUGAAAGAUAACCCUUCCACUUCUCAUCAACCAACCACGGCCAAUCCUCACCAGAUAUUCACUGCCAACCAUGAAGCUAGAACAAAAACUCCGGCUCGACACAAGCAACACACCACAGCUGUUACUACAAAACCCCAGAGGAAGACCCCAACCCGAAACCCUUUCCAACAGAGGGCUUUCACUAUAAGAGAGGAAAAUACAAACUAUUCACUUCAUGCAAACCCUCAGACCACAUCAUGCUUUAACCCUCAGAUUAGCCCUAGUCAUCAACAAAUCUCCCCUCUUGUUACAACCUUGGACCCAAAGAAGCAUACGGUGAUUUUUUGUGCUACCCAAAACUUUCCUGCUGGGGGUGUAAGGGAGGCAGUCAGCGAGCAUAGAGAUUGGUUGUGACCAGAAUAUGAACACUCGUCUGACCCUCCAGACGAUCAAAAUGCGGCUCGUGUAAACGACAUAAAUGCUCAAGCACAUCCGGAUGUGUAUAUGGGUGAAAAUAAUGGGGAGGAGAUGUCCGAUGAGGAGGAUUCGAUGAUUGAGGAAACACCCUCGGUGUUGAUGCCUGAAGUGAAUGGACAACAUUAAUAAGGUGUCUGCGUUUCCUUCUUUUGUUUUGUUUAUUUCAUGACGAUUAGCAUUAUGUAUUGGAAUGUCCAAGGGGCAGCUUCGGCUGAUUUUCGGCGCUCUUUUAGGACAAUUAUUAAAAAUUAUAAUCCAUCUAUGGUGGUUUUGAUGGAGCCUCGCAUUAGUGGGGUUAAAGCAGAUGAUUUCAUAAAGAUGAGUGGUUUCGAUCAUUCUCACCGAGUGGAAGCAGAGGGCUUUUCUGGUGGAAUUUGGCUUCUUUGGCAGAGUUACAUAGAGGUGGAGGUACUGCUGAAUCAUAGGCAGUUUAUUCACUUUAAAAUAUGUAGGAAUAAUGUAUUUGUGUCUUGGGGAAUGGCUGUCUAUGCUAGCCCAAACCCAAUGUUGCGGAGACAGCUGUGGAAGCAUAUGGAUAGCAUUGCUAUGUCGACUCAAGGGCCUUGGCUAAUUGGAAGGGAUUUUAAUUCUAUUUUGUAUGCUUCUGAAAAGCAGGGGGGUGUUACACGGAGUUCUGGAGUGUGCGACAUUUUUCGGCAGUGGUUUGAUGGGCACCGAAUUUUUGAUCUAAAAUUUAAAGGUCCUCGGUUUACCUGGUCUCGUGGACUUCUGUUUAAACGUCUUGAUAGAGCUCUCUGUAAUAGUGAUUGGCUAACAAAAUUUGCGGACAAUUCUGUUCUUCACCUUCCGAAAGUUGCUUCAGAUCACAGGCCGGUGCUGGUUCGUUUCGAGAAAGCUGAUUCAAGACAUCGGGGGUCUAGGCCAUUCCGUUUUUUAGCACCUUGGCUGACUCAUGUACACUUCAAUUCUUUUGUUAAGAAAGUGUGGGACCCUCAAGCCCAUUAUAGUGAUGCGGCGUCCCAUUUUUUCCAAGCAGUCCAAGAGUGGAAUAGGGAGGUGUUUGGGAAUAUUUUUCAGCGAAAACGACGACUAAUGGCUCGAAUAAAUGGGAUUCAGGCUGCCUUAGAAAGUUACAACUCCCGAGGGCUUGUGCGUUUAGAGGCUAGGUUACGGAACGAGUUAGAGAUGGUGAUGGGUCAAGAGGAAAUUUUUUGGUGGCAAAAAUCUAGGAAAGAUGAGCUCUUGCACGGGGACAGGAACACUAACUUUUUCCACCAAAAAACCAUAGCAAGAAGACGGAGAAAUAGAAUUGAAGCUAUUCAAGAUAGUUCGGGAAACUGGAUUUAUAGCGAGGAAGAGAUUCGUAAUCAUGCAAUUGGGUAUUUUUCAUCUUUAUACAGAAGUGAAGCUACAACCCCUCAACACUAUCAGGUACCGAAUUUUUUUCCAGUCUUGAAUGCUUAUGAUUUGGAGAGUACUACUGACCUAGUUUUGGAUGAAGAAAUUAAAAGGGUGGUUUUUAGCAUGAAGCCCCUCAAAGCUCCAGGUACUGAUGGCUUACAUGCCAUCUUUUACCAGUCUCAAUGGCCAGUUGUUGGGCCUUCCUUCUGCAAGCUUAUGGCUGAUAUUUUUAGUUCGGGCAAGAUCCCCCAGGAAAUCAAUACCACCCUUUUGGUAUUGAUUCCUAAAGUGGAGCACCCUACUAGCCUAAGUAUGUUUAGGCCUAUCAGUUUGUGCACAUUUGCUUAUAAAACAGUAACUAAAAUAAUUGCUAACCGCCUGCAAGCCUUGUUGCCUGAACUCAUAGGACCCCAUCAUACUAGCUUUGUACCCGGCCGCCAUAUUAUCGAUAAUAUUGUCGUUGCUCAGGAAGUGGUUCACUCCAUGCGAAAGAAAAUGGAGAAAAAAGGGUUUAUGGCUAUCAAGGUGGAUCUUGAAAAAGCGUAUGAUCGACUUAAUUGGGCCUUUAUUUUUUAUACUCUUCAACAAACUGGUCUUCCGAUUCAGUUAUCUAGACUUGUCAUGGAAUGUGUAACUUCGGCUCGAAUGAGUAUUUUGUGGAAUGGUGAGGCUACAGCAGAAUUUGCCCUAGGGAGAGGAAUCCGUCAGGGAGAUCCGCUAUCUCCUUAUAUUUUUGUCUUGUGCAUUGAACGGUUGAGUCAUGGAAUAACCCAAGCCGUGAGGGAUGGUAACUGGAAGCCUAUUCGAUUGGCCAAGCAUGGAACUCCACUAACGCACUUAUUUUUUGCAGAUGAUUUGCUCCUUUUUGCAGAGGCGUCAAUUGAUCAAGCUUAUACUAUAGAUGCAGUGCUAGAAAAUUACUGCCGAAGCUCUGAAGCUAAGGUCAAUAAGUCGAAAACUAAAAUUUAUUUUUCUAAGAAUGUUGUUUCAAGAGAAGCUCAGCUCCUCAGUGAUGUUUUGGGGUAUUCAGUUACAAAGGAUUUGGGGUGCUAUCUUGGAAUGCCACUUCUCAAUUCGAGAGUGAAUAAAGCUACUUAUCAAAUGAUUCUUGACAAGGUGGAUAAGAGGCUCACGGGCUGGAAUGCAGCUCAUUUAUCCUUUGCUGGCCGAAUCACUUUGGCCCAUUCGGUGCUUCAAGCAAUGCCAAUUUAUGCAAUGCAGACGACUUUACUCCCAGCUCCGGUGCGUGGGAAGAUUGAGAAGUCUUGCCGUCGGUUUAUUUGGGAUGGGAAGUCGAAGAGCCAUAAGAUGAGCAUGGUGGGUUGGAAUAAAAUGUGCAUGCCGAAACCUAAAGGUGCCCUGGGGUUUAAGAAGAUGGAUGUGAUGAAUCAGGCUUUGUUGAUGAAGCUGAGCUGGGAAGUUGUUUCGAACUCAUACAAGUUAUGGGUAAAGGUUAUUUGUUCAAAGUAUGGGUUAGAUCCUAGCCAUUUACCGUUGUCCCUCCCUGAGAAACAAGGAACUAGAAUCUGGAAGGCCAUAAGGAGCACAUGGUCAGCCACCAUAAUGGGAGCUCGCUGGGCUGUCUGUGAUGGAGCUCGAACUCUCUUUUGGCUUGACUGCUGGGCAACAAAGCAAGGCCCGUUGAUCAAUCUCGUUGUCCAUCCAGUGCCUCAAGAGUUGGUUAACGCUACGGUGAGCGAGUUUAUAAACGUGCAUGGGGGCUAGAACUGGCCAGCUUUUGAACAUUUGCUUCCUAACUCUAUUCUGCUGCAAAUUGCUUCGGUAAUGCCUCAUAAUCGUCUUCUUGGUGUUGAUAAAAUCUACUGGCAUUUUGAACCAAGAGGUAACUUUAUGGUUCGCUCGGCCUAUGAGUCUCUAUGUCAGUUGGAUUCAACUGCUACCGACACUGCAUGAAAUCUAGCAUGGACUUGGAAAGGGCCGCAAGCAGUUCGCAUCUUCCUUUGGCAGGUUCUGCAUGCGAAGCUGAAGAUAAAGGAUGAACUAUCUAGGCGGCAUAUUCCUAUAUCUAUAGGUUGUGAACGUUGUGGGGCUCCACUUGAGGAUAUUAUCCACGUCUUGAGAGAUUGUCAUUGCAUCAAGAGGGUUUGGCUUCGGCUGGUGCCAGCUCGGAAUCAACUCUCCUUCUUUCAGUCUACAUUACGAGAUUGGAUUAUUGCUAAUUUACAAAAUAAGUGGAAAAUUGCUUCUCCAUUAUCUUGGGAAUGUAUCUUCGGCGUAGCGGUUUGGAGAUUAUGGUAUUGGCGGAAUCAUUUUAUCGUGCAUGGGAAGUUGGCGGAUAGCUCAACAGUUUAUUUAGAUAUUAUGGCCAGAGCUAACGAAAUCCAUAGACUAAAUAAUUCUCACAUAAGUCAGCAGCCGCGGCGAAAGGAAAUUUUUAUUGGAUGGCUUCCACCUCCAGGGCCUUGGUGCAAAUUGAAUACAGAUGGGUCUUGUAGAAAAUCUGAGGGUGCAGGAGCUGGGGGUAUUCUUCGAGACUCUGUUGGCCACUGGAUUUCUGGAUUUUGUAUGAAUAUUGGAGAAAGUUUGGUGCUCAUGGCUGAGCUUUGGGGGUUGUAUCAAGGAUUACGUAUAGCUUGGGAUACUGGCAUAAAACGUAUUUUGGUUGAAGUGGAUAGCCUUUGUGUUACUCAAAUGAUCUCGAAGCAGGUGGUUGUGCCUAACGAAUUCUAUGCAUUAGUCGCUGCUGUCCAGGAAUUAGUUAGCAGAAAUUGGCAGAUUUCCAUCACCCAUAUUUAUCGUGAAGCAAAUUCGGCGGCGAAUUUUAUGGCGAAUAUGGCUCAUUCACACCCCCAUGGGUUGCAUUUAUUUUCUAGCCCGCCUGUGGGUAUUUAUUCAAUUAUUGUGCAAGACUUAUUUGGGGUGUCUCAACCCCGUCUUAUUCAUGUUUAGCUCGCUUGUUUGAGCCCCAUUUAAUAAAAAAUACAUUAAAAUAUUAAAAAAUAAGAAAAAAUUCCAAAUUUUUCUAUUUCUGGUUUUAUUUCAGUUUAAUAUUAUUGGUUCCGUUCUGCUCUGUUCUUGGUUGUCUGUAUAUCUGUAUAUAUUUUUGGCCUCGAAUUGCUUUGAUCACCGGUUUUGUUCUUCAUUUAUAGUGAAUUUUAGAUACCCAUUAAACUUGUUUGGCCAUGUAUUCACUUGAUUGUUACAUUCAGCUGCCAUUUUCAUGGUGGGUUUGUAAGAUAGUCUCUGACUAACAUAUGUCAUUGAUUAUGAAUGAUGGUUUUGUGAGAUACACCAUAUAGACGUUAACUUUGUCAAGAUUGAUAUCUCUUCUAGAUAUUCAAACUUUGAAUAUCAAAUUUAAAAUUCUAGAUAUUCAAAGUUUGAAUAUCAAACUUUGAACUUUGAAUUUUGAAAAAUAAUAAAUAAUUGAAAAAAAUACGUGAAUAGUAGCCAAGAUUUUGGCUAUAAAUAGAGGGGCUCAUUCCCUCAUUUGCUCAUCCAAUUUUGAGAAGAGUUUUCUUGUAUUUAGAGAGAGUUUAGAGAGCUUGAAAUUAUAAGCUCUUGUUUUAGUGUUUUAAGAGUUUGGGUGUAUUGGGGUUUUGGGAAGUGAGCUAAAAUACUAUAAUACUUGUAACUCAUUUUCACUAGUAAACUAUUUUUCUUCUGUCUUCGCCCGUGGACGUAGGCUAAAAGCCGAACCAUGUAAUUUCUGGUGUCCUCUUUUAUGCUUGUUCUUUAUUUUCUUCCAAUUUCAUUUUAGCUACGGCCCUGCUUCACCCAUCAAUUUCCUAACAGUGGUAUCAGAGUUAUUGGUUGUAUUUUUGGAGUCGGGUACUAUUCACGUAUACGGUACUGUUCAGGUAUACGAUAUUAUUUAUGUAUACGGUAUUGUUCACGUAUACGGUAUUGUUUAUAUAUACGGUACUGUUCAUGAGAAACUGUGGGAGCGAUCCAAGAAUUUUGCGGUGCAAAGCAGGGAAUAGUGGUGUGAGUAAAGCAACUGUGUGAUUUUGUACAUGUCUAGGAAAGUUCUGUCACAAAGGCGAUAAGAACUUAAGGAGUCUGGAUUUUAAGUGGGACCAUUGUGACCCCUCCAGUCUUUCUUGGGAACUUUCCUGGUGUGCAUAUUCACACAUAUUCACACGUACUCACAACUAUUCGAGGUGAUACACUAGUUUGUGUACAAUAUUUAUCAACAAAAUGGCGGCAAAGUAUGAAAUUGAGAAGUUCUACGGGAAUAAUUUUUCGUUAUGGAAAAUGAAGAUGAAAGUUGUAUUGAGGAAAAAUAAUUACUUGGCAACAAUUGGAGAAAGGCCCAUGGAGAUAACUGAUGACAAGUGGAACGAGGUAGAUGGCAACGCCAUUUCUGAUCUACACUUGGCACUUGCUGAUGAAGUAUUAUCCAGUGUGGCAGAGAAAAAUACAGCGAAGGAAAUAGAGAUACUCUCACAAAAUUGUACGACGCCAAGUCACUACACAACAAAAUCUUAUUGAAGAGAAAACUCUAUACUCUUCGAAUGGCGGAAUCUACAAUCGCGACCGACCACAUCAACACCUUGAAAACUCUAUUUUCACAACUCACAACGUUGGGUCAUAAUAUAGAAGAGAAUGAACAUGCAGAGCUUCUACUUCAAAGUCUACCAGAUUCGUAUGAUCAACUCAUCAUCAACCUGACGAACAACAAUCCAACGGACAGUAUAGUUUUCGACGAUAUUGCAGCCUCCGUAUUAAAUGAGGAGAGCAGAUGGAAAAAUAAGGAAAACAGACAAGCAAGUUCGCAGCAAGCGGAGGCGCUAUCGAUGACGAGAGGGAGAUCAACAGAACGUGGCCCCAGUGGGAGUCACAAUCAUGGUAGAUCAAAAUCUAGAAGUAAGAAGAAUGUUAAAUGCUAUAAUUGUGGCAAGAAAUGGCACGUCAAGAAAGAGUGUUGGAGUAACCAGAAGAGAAAAGAGGGUAAAGAUCAUGAGUCAUCAAAUGCUCAGGGGUGUGUAGCAAGUACCUCGGAUGAUGGUGAAAUUCUCUACAGCGAGGCAACAACUGUUUCAAAAGGCAGAAAAUGACUAUUUGAUGUCUGGCUUAUAGACUCAGGAGCUACCUGACACAUGACCUCUCGAAGAGAAUGGUUCCACACAUAUGAACCUAUCUCAGGAGGAUCUGUAUAUAUGGGUAACGAUCAUGCCUUGGAGAUCGCUGGUAUUGGUACUAUAAAAAUAAAAAUGUUUGAUGGUACAAUUCGCACAAUUGGGGAGGUACAACAUGUCAACGGUCUGAAGAAAAAUCUAUUGUCUUUAGGACAAAUGGAUAGUCAUGGGUACAAAACUCAUGUGGAGAAUGGAAUUAUGAAGAUCGUUAAAGGCGCGCUUGUAUUGAUGAAGGCAGAAAAGAUCGGUGCUAAUUUAUUCAUACUUAAAGGAGAAACGCUACAAGAGGCUGAUGCGUGUGUCGCGUCAAAUGGAAAAGAAUCAACAAUGAUGUGGCGCCUCAAAUUUGGCCACAUGUCAGAACAAGGUUUGAAAAUUCUCUCUGAGCGAAAAUUGCUUACAGGGCUCAAAUCGGUAAGUUUACCAUUUUGCGAGCAUUGUGUUACAAGUAAGCAGUAUAUAUUAAAAUUCAGUAGAUCUGUUGCUAGAAGUAAAUGCAUUCUAGACUUGAUUCAUUCUGAUGUUUGGGAAUCACCGGAUAUGUCCAUGGGAGGUGCAAAGUACAUGGUGACUUUCAUUGAUGAUUAUUCCAGGAGAUGUUGGGUGUAUCCAAUUAAGAAAAAAGUCAUAUGUAUUUCCAGUGUUUAAAGAAUAUAAAGCGCGGGAGGAACUUGAAUCCGGAAAAAAGAUCAAGUGCUUGAGGAUGGAUAAUGGUGGAGAGUAUACAGACGGUGAGUUUCUUACUUUUUGUAAGUAAGAAGGUAUUCAGAGGCAGUUCACGGUGGCAUAUACUCCUCAACAAAAUGGAGUGGCAGAGCGGAUGAACAUGACUCUUACAGAACGAAUAAAAGCUAUGUUGAGGACUGCAGGUCUACCUAAUUCAUUCUGGGUAAAAGCAGCCAAAAUUGCCUGUUAUAUAGUAAAUCAGUCGCCAUCUACAGCUAUUGGGCUGAAGACAACGAUGGAAAUGUGGAUUGGAAAGCCAACUGAUUACUAAUAUCUACAUGCAUUUGGAUGUCCUGUGUACGUGAUGUACAAUGACCAAGAAAGAACAAAGCUGGAUCCAAAAUCUAGAAGAUGUAUCUUCUUGGGAUAUGCUGAUGGAGUAAAGGGGUAUCGUCUGUGGGACCCCACUACCCACAAGAUCGUCAUCAGCAGAGAUGUUAUCUUUGUAGAAGAUCAACUGAAAAUGAGAAAUGAGGAUAAUAGCACUGUAAAAGAAAAGUCAGAGACUGUACCGGUGUAUGUGAAAAAUAAUCUGGAAAAAGAAGAUUCAGAUUCUUCUAAAGCAGCACCAGAGCACGAGGAACAAGAACCAGUUGAGUCCGAGGCUCCAGAAGUUCGUCGGUCAACUUGUGAGAGACGACCGCCAACGUGGCACUCGGAGUAUGUCACAGAGAUCAACGUUGCAUACUGUCUUCUAACAGAAGAUGUAGAGUCAUCAACUUUCCAUGAAGCUUUAAACAACUCAGAUGUUACUUUGUGGAUGAUAGCAAUGCAUGAAGAAAUUGAAGCUCUACACAAGAAUAACACAUGAGAACUUGUACCACUACCACAUGGAAGAAAAGCCAUUGGUAACAAAUGGGUCUACAAGAUCAAGCGUGAUGGCAAUGACCAAGUGAAGCGGUAUCGUGCAAGAUUGGUGGUGAAAUGAUAUGCUCAGAAAGAAUGUAUUGACUUCAACGAGAUAUUUUCUCUGGUAGUUCGACUCACGACAGUCAGAAUAGUCUUGGCGAUGUGUAUUACAUUUGACUUACAUCUUGAGCAGUUGGAUAUGAAAACUGCAUUUCUUCAUGGAGAACUUAAAGAAGAAAUUUAUAUGCUUCAACCAGAAGGCUUUGCUGAAAAGGGAAAUGAGAACUUGGUUUGUAGGUUGAACAAAUCUUUAUACGGUCUCAAACAGGCGCCGAGAUGUUGGUAUAAGAGAUUUGAUUCCUUCAUCAUGAGCCUUGGAUACAACAGACUCAGUUUAGACCAUUGUGCAUAUUACAAAAGGUUUGAAGAUAAUGAUUUCAUUAUUUUGUUGUUGUAUGUGGAUGACAUGUUGGUAGCAGGCCCCAACAAAGAUCGAAUCCAAGAAUUGAAGGCACAAUUGGCUAGGGAAUUUGAAAUGAAGGACUUGGGACCAACAAACAAGAUUCUAGGGAUGCAAAUUCACCGAGACAGAAAUAACAUGAAGAUUUGGCUUUCUCAGAAGAACUACUUGAAGAAAAUCUUGCGACGCUUCAACAUGCACGAUUGUAAGUGAAUUUUUACCCCACUUCCUGUUAAUUUCAAGUUAUCCUCAAGUAUGUGUCCUAGCAAUGAAGCAGAGAGGAAUGAGAUGUCUCGAGUACCGUAUGCAUCAGCAGUGGGAAGUUUGACGUUCGCUAUGAUAUGUACUAGACCAGACAUUGCACAAGCAGUGAGAGCAGUUAGUCGAUACAUGAUGAAUCUUGAUGGAGAGCAUUGGAUAGCUGUGAAGAGGAUUCUGAGAUACAUCAAAGGAACCUCCGAUGUUGCAUUAUGUUAUGGAGGAUCAGAGUUUACUGUCAGGGGCUAUGUGGAUUCAGAUUUUGCAGGAGAUCUUGAUAAAAGAAAAUCCACUACUGGCUAUGUGUUUACACUUGCUGGAGCAGUUGUAAGCUGGGUUUCAAAACUGCAAAUCAUUGUGGCCCUAUCUACAACAGAAGCAGAAUACAUGGCAGCUACACAAGCUUGCAAGGAAGCUAUUUGGAUACAAAGGUUAUUGGAGGAGCUCGGGCACAAACAACAGAAAACUCUUGUGUUUUGUGACAGUCAGAGUGCCUUGCAUAUUGCAAGGAAUCUAACCUAUCAUUCCAGGACAAAGCACAUAGGGGUACAGUAUCACUUCGUUCGAGAAGUAGUGGAAGAUGGAAGUGUGGAUUUACAGAAAAUCCAUACCAAAGAGAACUUAGCAGAUGUUUUGACUAAGCCAAUUAUUGCUGACAAGUUUAUCUGGAGUAGAUACUCUUGUGACCUAGCAGAAACGUAGGCAACAUGACAAUGACGAAGCAGAAAGGAUGGUGUGGAGAUUGAUUGGUUCUCAAUCAAAUCUCCAAGUGGGGGAAUGUCAAGAUUGAUAUCUCUUCUAGAUAUUCAAACUUUGAAUAUCAAAUUCAAAAUUCUAGAUAUUCAAAGUUUGAAUAUCAAACUUUGAACUUUGAACUUUGAACUUUGAAUUUUGAAAAAUAAUAAAUAAUUGAAAAAAAAUACGUGAAUAGUAGCCAAGAUUUUGGCUAUAAAUAGAGGGGCUCAUUCCCUCAUUUGCUCAUCCAAUUUUGAGAAGAGUUUUUUUUAUAUUUAGAGAGAGUUUAGAGAGCUUGAAAUUAUAAGCUCUUGUUUUAGUGUUUUGAGAGUUUGGGUGUAUUGGGGUUUUGGGAAGUGAACUAAAAUACUACAAUACUUGUAACUCCAUUUCACUAGUAAAAUAUUUUCCGUCUGUCUUCACCCGUGGACGUAGGUUAAAAGCCGAACCACAUAAUUUCUAGUGCCCUCUUUUAUGCUUGUUCUUUAUUUUUUUCCAAUUUCAUUUUAGCUGCGGCCCUACUUCACCAAUCAAUUUUCUAACAAACUCGUAUUAAUGUGUACUUACUUCAUUCAAGAGAUUAGUGUUUUUCUCUCUUUUUUUCUAUAAAAAAAAAAAUUGAAAUGCCUUUUCGCAUUUUAUAGGUGAAAGGAAGAAACAUAAUAUCGCAGGACUAGAAUAAAGGAGCCUAUUCUGGUACCUAUUGUCCAAGGAAGCUUCGGUACAUUGGGUAGGCACUGCCAUGGAAGUCAAUCUUACCAGAGCCAGGCGGAGUCGUUCCUAAAGGAAUAUAUAUUAGCAUAUCCAUUUGUCCCGUACACUUCAAUUGUCGAUAGCAUUUUUGUUUGCAAGAUGGUAUGUUUUUUGUCGUUACUGCGUGGUGGUAUUUACUAGAAAAUAUUUUGAAUGCAUAGUUUUUAUUUAAUUAGUUAUAAAAUUUUUAUACCCUCUGUUUUCCAUAAGAAUGUGUUCCUUUUCAGGUCUAUUAUCUUGCCAAAUUGAUUAGUGCUGUUCAAUUUAAAUGUUAUUCCAAUUUCUCCAACAUACAGUGGGUCGAGUGGAGUAACAGGUGAUUGAAUAUUUUCAUUUAGUUCAAUUUUCAUUUCCUUUUCAAUCGGUAAAGUUUAAUCAUUUUCUUAAAUCGACAACUGAUGCAUGGCCAUAUCAACCGUCCAUGCCAUUUUUAUAACAGCAAUGCCUUUGUACUUUGUGUUUUGGUCGGAUCUCAGAGUUUCUUGGAUAAACAAUUGUGCAUCCUAUGAUCUAGGCAUGGUCGUUUGGACUGAACUAGUUUUUAAUAAAUAAUUGCCCAAGGAUUUAGUCUCAGUGUUACAGCCCAGUCUUUGUUGUCCAUACUCUUUCGCCCGUCGUGGAUGAGUGCCAUAACAGCUUCUUAGAUAGCGUUUACUUUUUGGAUUGGAGUGAGAAUCUUGAGAAGUGGGAAUCCUAGGAUUGGGAGUGUGGAGUGGGAGUGAGAGUAGGUUGUUUACUUACACUGGAAUGAAAGUAUGGAAUAGAGAUCAGAAUCCAAUUUAUGUGUUUACUUUGUCUUGGAUUGGGAGUAAAUAGUUUCAAAUUACAAUUUUAUCCUUAUGUAAAGAAUUAUAGUUUUUAAUUACAAAGUUAAUAAAAAAUAUAUUUAAUGAAUAAACAUUUAUUUUAUUAUAUUUGUAAAUUUAUAAUAAUUAUUAAUAUUCUUAAUUAUGAACAUCACAAUUUUUUUUAUAAUUUUAAUUAUAUAAAUUAAAAAUUGUUGAUAAGGGCAAUAUAAAUGAAAUAUUUUUACUAUUAACUUAGUAUGAAAUUAAUAUUUUCUUAGAAUAUACUAUUUAUUAGUAUUAAUUACUAAUAUUAAAUAAAUAUAAUACUAUUAUUUUUAAAUAAAUAUAAUAAUAUUAUAUUUUCAAAUAAAGAUUGUAUAUAGUAAUAUUAUUAAUUCUCUCUUAAUAUAAUAAUAUUAUUUUUAAGUAAAUUAAACUUAGAAUCAAACCCAAUUAUUAUUUAGUUAAAUAUAAUAAUAUUAUUUAAAUAUUUAUUAAAUAUAGUUAUAGUAAAUUUAAUAAAAAGAAGGGUAAAUAUAAAAUGAAACGUUAUUUUAUUUUAUAUAAUUAUAUUAAAUUUAUUAAUAUAAUAUUAUUUAGUACAAAAUUAAUAUUUUCUUAGAAUAAACUAUUUAUUAUUAUUAAUUAUUAAUAUUAAAUAAAUAUAGUACUAUUAUUUUUAAAAUAAAUAUAAUAAUAUUAUAUUAUUAAAUAAAGAUAGCAUAUAUUUAUUAAUUCUCUAUUAAGAUAAUAUUAUUAUUUUUAAGUAAUUUUAACUUAUAAUCAAUGUAAAUUAUUAUUUAGUUAAAUAUAAUAAUAUUAUUUAAAUAAAUAUAAUUAUAAAUUAUUUUAUUUUAUUAAAUUAAAUUAAAAACAAAGGGUAGAAAAGGGAGAGGUGGGAGUGGGACCAUGGGAGUCCCACUCCCACUCCCCACUCCAAAAAUGGAUGGGGCCCACGGAGUGAGAUUCUCAAUCCCUCUCUAUUUUGUUGAAGUAAACACUGGAGUAGGAGGAAUCCACACUUCUCACUCCCACUCCAGAAAGUAAACACUGCCUUAAUGUUUUGAAGUGGCUUUUGCACGGUUGUUGUUUCCUUCUGAAGCUAUAGAGUAGCUAUGGAUAUAGCAGAUGCAGAUGCCACUAAUUUUUAUACUGGCCUUUCAUCAUCAAAAUGAAAAGGAUCAAGCGGGAACUUAAAAGAAGGUUGAUUUGAAUGAAACACCCUCUAUGCAAGCCAAGAGACUCCAAUUAAGACUGCAAGCUCUGCUUAAAACAGGUAUUUAUAUACCUUAUUAGUUUUUGUACCUUUACAAUUAGUGAUUUUUGUAUCAAAAGAGAGGUUAAUUUUUAGUACACAAGUGCGGCUCUUCCUCUAGACAACUGCCUAGAGCCCCACUAUAGAUGAAGACCCCAAAUUUUUCUCUAACAUUAUAGCUAUUAAAUUAUUCAUUUAUUUUUAUUUUUAUUUUUAUUUUUAUUAUUCUAUAAUAAUCUUUGUUCAAAUAAAUUAUCAAAUCCCUACAAAAUCUCUUUUUAAAGUUGGAAUAAACAAUGUUAAUCCUAUUUACUCCUACAAAAUCUCUACUUAAUGUUAUUUCAUUUAAAACUCUAUAAAAGUCACACAUUUGUUAACUUGUUAUCCAUUAAUAUUUUUAUUCAUUAAAAGAAAAGCACGAGACAUUCAAUGCUUCAAUUCAUAAGGAAAAAAAGAAGCUUUUUUUAAUUUUUACUUAAGAAAAAAAUUAACUAUUUUCAUUGACCGCUGCUGUUUAAAACUUCAAUCCAUCAAAAUUAGAGUUUCAAAUAUCCAAGUUUUAUUCUUCCUAUUCUCUUCUUAAUCAGUUGUGUUAUUCAAUUGUUAUUGUUUCUUUUUUAAAUAUUAUUGUUGUUUUCUUUUAAUUAUCCAGCAUAAUUGUUUACUUGUUUUCUCUUCUUUCACUAAAAAAAGAAAAAAAUGUCUAAUAGAAAAUGUGCAUCAAGAUACAAAAAACUUGGGAAAAAAGAGAAGAAUAAAAAAGUAGUUCGAUCUAAAAAAUGAGCUCUUGAUAAGUUUGUCAAAAAUAGUAAAAAAAGAUAUGAAUUAUAGUGAGGAAUUAGUGAUUGAUGAAGUUUUUCAAAAUUAAAAUUAAUAAAAAUUUAUUUAAGAUCAAAUAAGUCGCAAGAAAAGUUAAAUGAUUUAGCUAUAUUGAGAAGAAUGUAUUAGCGAAAUUAGAAAUAAAAAUUUGAGCAAUAAUUUUGCACCUAAGAAAGCUAGAAAAUUUGAUUUUAAAUAAAUAACUUUUUAGUAAAACAAAUACAUAUAUUUGACCUCAAAUUUUUUAAAAGGCCUAAUUAAAGCAAUUCAUCUAAGGCCCCAAAAUUAGUUGAGCCGCCCCUAUUAGUACAUUCAUAUCUCAACAAAAUGUUAGAACCUUUGUAGCACUAGAGACAUUUUCUUAGAGCAUUUACUGACCUUUCUAUGAUUGCAGUGGAGACAGGUCGACGCUACUUCCCUCAUUGCUCAGAAGUGGUUGAUAAGUUUUUGGAUUGUGAUUGGUCCGAUUCUUCCCUCCUAGAAAAGGGUACUCCUGAAGAGCAGAAACUCAAAAGGGCACGCUUCAUGAAACUUAAAGAAGACCUGAAGAAGGCAUUUUACAAGGACAUGGCUGAGAAAAAUCCCUCAGGUCUGUCGUCAUCUUCUCCGAAGGAAGGAGUAAAGUGUAAGGGUAGGAAAAGGUGAUGCUUAGCUGCUUGUCUUUGUUAUUCAUUUAUAGGCAACUAAGUGUUUUAGUGAGUUUGGUUGUUACUUGUAGAGAGAUACUCUUAGGGCAUAUGUUAUGGUUAUGUUGUAUAAUAGCAGAGAAACUUUAAGCAUGCAUUGUUGUAUUUUCCCAGAUAUUUGGCUUGUAAUACACCAAAUGACAAAGAAUUUUCUAUUUUUAGAGGGGAAAGUUAUGUCAGUUAAUUAUUUAUUUAUUUUGUCUGUCUAAUUCAGUUUACAUAGCUUUUUUUUUUUUUCCUUUCCAAAAAAAUCUGCAUAUCUUCAUCUGCAAUUUAAGUCAUUGGUAACUUCUUUCAGGGAGGAAGGAAAAAAAAAAAGCAUUUGUAAGUAUAUUUUACAGUACUGAUUUUCCUAAAAAAUUAGUUAAGGUGAGAUUAAUGUUCUUUGAAAUAGAUGGAUAUGCAGAAUCUUCAUCGAAAUUGAAAUUAGAAAUGGAUGGAUACGAGUGACUUAUAUUAAGAAUUUUUUAGUAGAAUGCUUAUAGAAAAAUUUGUAGCUCAUUACUCUCUAGAAGGAAAAUAAAUUUUAGAUUGUAAAUAUUAAAUAUUAAAAUUAUAAUAUAAUAAAUGUGUGACUUAAGGUGUACAAUACCCAUAUAAUAAUAAUUAAGAAAAGAAAAAUCAAAUUUUGUAAAUUACCAAUUUUCUCUUGAAAUUUGAUAUUCUAUAUUAACGUAGGUGUUGCAUGGAGUGGGCUAGUACAACUGAAAGAAACUAACUAAAGUAAAAAAAAAAAUAUCAGAAAAAUACGACGAGCUUCUCAUAUUUUUCAAGUAAAAAAAAAAACUAAAAUUAAUUAUUUUUAUAACCAAAUUCUAAUGCUUGAAGGUUGCUGGAAUUGACCAUUGUAAUUUUGUCAUCCUCGUUAUUCACUGGCCAUCGUAGCCUUCCUCCAUUAAAAUGAGAGUUGUUUUUCGGACCACGACGUAAUAAAAAUAAUAUCGAUUAAUACUAAUAAACCUAUUUUGAUUAUUUUGUAGUGUGAUGGUCUAGUAAGUAUCAGUACUUAUCCUAGCAUCCGAACAUGUGAUAAAAUUAUGCGAGUCUCUAUAAAAUACUAUUUAAAUUAUGUAUUAACUAGACAGUUCUAUGUAGAUAUUUCGUAUAUAUUUAUGAUAAUUGUUGAAAAAAAGAACGUAAAAUGAGAUUAAUGAACAUUCAUAAAUGUGGAAAUUAACACAACUAAGAUUUAUGAUGAAAUAAUUUUAUGUCAAAUGAGUGUAAGUGAAUGGAUGUUAAAAUAACUUGUAAUAUAUAUUUUUUGAACUGUUAUUUACACAAGUUUGCCACCAACAGUAAAUUAAAUUAUGAAUAUUUUAAUAAUUCAAGAUCUCAUUCGAUGUUUAUAGUAUUUUUCAGAGUACAAAAUUGUAAAUGGUCUCACCCUUCAUAGUAUAAUGCUAAACCUUUUAAAAAAUUUAUUCUAUUAUAGACGUAUUAGUUAGUUAUAUUAUAUUAUAGACAAAAUUGAAGCUAAAAAUAGUACUUCAUCUAUCAUACAUUACUUUAAUUUUUUUUUUAUCAAAUUAUGAGCUGGUGAAAGGAUGCAACAAAUUACGUCAAACAUUGUAAAAUUUAUCAAUCACUAAAUAAAUAUCAUGUUAUAUGUGUGUGUGUCUCUCUCUCUAUCUAUAUAUAUAUAUAUAUAUAUAUAUAUAUAUAUAUAUAUAUAUAUAUUACACAAAAUCUGAUUCUCAUGAACUAAAAAGACAGGCUUUGGAUGAUGUAUCAUACUCAUAAAUCUAUUUUUAUUAAUGAUUAUACAAACAUAUCUUUUUUUUUUUCUUUUUUUUUGUGUGUUGCUUUUGAUAGAAACAUAUGAUUCACCUCUGUUUCUCCGAUGCUUGCUUGCUUCAUGAUUGGUCAACUUGGGUCAAACUUUCGUCUUUAAAUCACAUAGGUAGAUCAUGAUUCAAGCUUCAGUUAUAAGCCUUUCAUUGUGACUGGUAUUAUUCUUUCUUGAUGUACAUAUAUAUAUAGAUUCAGUUUGAAUGUGGUCCUUGAUAGUUUCAUGGAAAAUGCAAACGAAAUGUCAGCAUCUUUGAGUUUUGUCUCAUCAUAUCCGUCUUGUUGGUCUACUAAUCAACCAACAGGCUCUGAAACUUGCUCUGAUCUUGAUAAUUUUAACUUAAGGAGGCAAAGCAGCAAUCCUGAAGAGCCAUGGCUUGACGCUGAGAUUGUCGUUGAGGGCAAAUCAGUGGCAGUUAAUCGCUGCAUAUUGUCUGCACACAGUCAAUUUCUUCAUUGGCUUUUUAAUUUGAGAAAUGAUGGUUCUGUGAGUGAGGGGAAACCCAAGUAUCUUAUGACUGAUUUGGUGCCUUAUGGGAAGGUUGGAUAUGAAGCGUUCAAUGAUAUCUUGCAUUAUCUUUACACUGGGAAGGUUAAGCCAUCUCCUCUAGUAGUGUCCACGUGUGUUGAAGAUGCUUGUGCUCAUGAUGCUUGCCCUCCUGCUGUCAAUUAUGCUAUUGAGUUGAUGUAUGCUUCUGCUGCUUUUCAGAUGAAGAACUCGUUUUGCUUUUGCAGGUAAUUGUGCUUCCCUGCUAUUUGUAUUGCUUAAAUUUAUGCUUCUUGGUAUAGUUUUAACAUUUAUGGAAUUGAAAUCAAUUUCAAUUGUGACUUGCAAAGAGCCAAAGCAAGUAAAUGUGAAGCAACUUCAGUGAUUCGCAAUAUUAGUCAUCGCAGGAGAUCCAAAAUUUGUAGAUACUGUAGAAUUGUAGAGCCCAAAACUUCAUCUUAUCUUGCAAGAGUUUGUUGUUUUAUUUUCAAAUAGACAAAAAAAAGAUGAUGAUGGGCAGCGAACUCUAGGGAUCAAUGCUUGCUGACACUGACACCCAAUGCUUGAUGUCUAGCUUGCUUAUUUUUCCAACAAUGACACUACCUUUCUAGUAAAUGAAAUAUUAUUCUACAUCUAUAUAUUGGAACUUUGACAAACUUCGCUUUUCCUUUGUUGAUUCACUGGUCUCACUUUUAUUCAAUUGCCCGAUUAUGAAAUGGUCUAUUGGAGACUAGCAUUGGAAGGUUUCUUGUGGAAAAAGUUUUACUUGACCACCGAUUUUCAUUUUGGUGGGUGUCAGCGCAUGCUCUGGCUUGACUAUUCUGUUAUUUAGGUUGUUUUAUCUGUAUCUUCUCACUCACUUGAUAGUUAGUUCUCUCAUGCUUCCAAGCUCAAAGAUGAAUGCAAGAGAUUCUCUUUUUCCCCUCUAGACUAUAACCUAUCAAAUCAUUAAUGCUAUAGAAUAACAUCUUGUGUAGGCGGGCUUAUGUGUCUGAACAUUGGUCCAUCGGCAUUUUCAAUAAGCAUGGCACUGAUUUUUCGUCUCAUUAUUAUUUUCCUGCCCAGAUUGUCCCCUUUACCCAGAUUGUCCCCUUUAAGUAACAUAUUGAAGGAGAGCAACAUUCUUAUAUAUGUUUUAUGAUGUUUACCAAUAAUUACCCACCACGCGGUAUUUGAAUUUUGAAUGUAUUAUUCUGACUCAAAACUCUAUCUGUCGGUGUAGCUUCGUCUUCUGAACUUUGUUGAGAAGGCUUUUGUGGAAGACGUAAUCCCAAUCCUUGUGGCUGCCUUGCAUUGCCACCUGAACCAGCUUCGUUCUCUCUGCAUCCACAGAGUUGUAAGGUCAAAUCUUGACAAUAUAUAUCUCGAGAAAGAGCUUCCUGAGGAAGUUUCAAGUGACAUCAAAUCACUUCGUUUCGAAUCUAACCAGGAGUCUGAAGCUAACAUAGCAGAAGUGGAUCCUCGAUAUGCAAAAAGAGUCAGAAGAAUCCACAAGGCACUGGACACUGAUGACAUUGAACUGUUGAAGCUUCUUCUGAAUGAAUCUGAUGUCACUUUAGAUGAUGCUUACGCUCUGCAGUAUGCUGCUGCCUAGUGCAACCCUAAGGUUUUAAAGGAAGUGCUCAAUAUGGGCUUGGCUGAUCUCAAUCUUAAGGAUGCAAGAGGACGUACGGUGCUUCAUGUGGCUGCAAGGCGUAAGGAGCCAGCAGUGCUGGUGACCCUGCUCAGCAAGGUAGGCAUGCGCAUCAGAAACUACAUUAGAUGGGCAAACAGCUUUAGCAGUCUGUCGGAGAAUGACAAGGCGAAAGGAUUAUAUUGAAGCUGCAAAGCAGGGGCAGGAAACUAACAAAGACCGGUUUUGCAUUGAUGUCCUUGAGAGAGAGAUGAGAAGGAACUCCGUGUCUGAGAACUUGGCAAUGUCAUCCGAGUUGAUGGAUGAUGAUUUCCAAAUGAAGCUGGACUAUCUGGAAAAUAGAGGUGAUAUUUCUUUACUGGUAUUAGUUCAUCACAUUCUCAGAGUUGGUGUGUCCCUUCAUCUUAGCAUGUCAAACACGCAUGGGCUCAUUGCUUGCAGCACACUGUUGGCCAGUCAUGUGAUUUGUUCCACUUUUUUGGGAUAGACAAUUGUGAAUCUGUAUGAUCUAGGCUUGGUGGUUUGCACUGAACUAGUUUUCGAUGAAUAAAUGUACAAGAUUUUGUCAUCAAAACUGUUUUAUUUCCAAAAGUAACGAGGUACAAAAAAAUUUAUGCCUCUCCUGGAUGAGUACCAUAACAGCUUCUUAAUAUGUUGCAGUGGCUUGUGCACGGCGUUUUUUUCCUUAUGAAGCUACAGUAGCUAUGGAUAAAGCAGGUGCAGAUACCUCCAAUUUUGACACUGGCCUUUCACUUUCGGCAUUAAAUCCGAAGGGGGUUGAUUUGAAUGAAACACCCUCUAUGCAAGCCAAGAGGCUCCAAUUAACGCUGCAAGCUCUGCUUAAAACAGGUAUUUGUAUAUUUUAUUAACUUUUGCACUUUUUUAUUUAGUGAUUAUCUUUAUAAUUAAAUAAUAUAUGUAUCCAGGUUUCUCCUUCCAUUUCAUUAGUAGACUGGAAUCUCUUUAUAGUGCUCCGUUAGUGUAGUGAGAUGUAUCAAAUUGAGAAAGCGGGCUUGUUAGUACAUUGAUAUCUCGACAGAAUGGUAGAACCUUUCUUUACAUCACUAAAGACAUUUGUUGUAGUGAUGCCUACAUAAUCAGUGUCCUUUAAAACUUUCAAGGAGUUAGCAACGCCUGACCCUUUAAACACGAAAUCUCACGGGAUCAACUUUGUACCUCUGGACCUAAGGUGUGACACCCAGCCCCAAUUGGUGCUUAAAACACAUCUGAAUUUGAGCGAAACUAAAUGCUUGAAAAUCAAAUCUCCAAAAUAUCAAAAGAUCAUCUACUUUAUCUUUUCCUGCAUUUCACAAAAUUUUUAAAAAUUCACUCUCAAUCAUAAACUUUGCGCAGGUAAAUAAUAAUCAUAUCAGUAUACAACAAUACUUCCUCCCAAGCAAAUAAAUCUUACAAUUCUUCUUACAUGAUUUUUUUUUUAAAAAAAAAAAAAACUUCUAGAAGUCUUCUAAAUACAAACAUAAACAUAAUUCAACUGCUAAAACUACGCCAAAAUACAAGCUUCAAUCAGUAAUACAUACAGUGAUUAAAAACAUCUAGCCAGAAAAUUUAUGAAAGCUCAAUCUUUCUGAACCUUGUCUCCAAAAAUCCUUCAAAUUAAUAAUCGCUACUAUCUGUGAAAAGUAAUCGACAAAGGGUCAGUUGUUAACUCAAUUAGUAGAACCAUUCAUAAUGAACAAAAAGAAUUCUUUGUGCAAUAUUUUCAGAAGAUUCAUUUAACAUUUCAAAUGAAACAGAGUAAUUUUUCAAACGCAGUCAAGAUUUGUACAAAACAAAAGCGUUUCAGACAGAAGCUUUUUGGAACAUAAAUUUUGCUUUUAACAAAAAGUUAAACAUUAGUUGAUUUUAGAGGGAGGUUAUUGGCAAGUUAAAUUAGGCACUUGUGGUAACGGGUAAUAGCAAUUAUAAAAUCUCUUUUAAAACAAAUUCAAAUCGAGUUUCAAAGUUAGGAAGUACUUAAAUCAAAAAGGUAAAGAAUAAAUAAACUUUUCAUUGAAACAAAACUAUGUAAAUUCAUUUGAAAAAAAACAGGAUGCAAGCAUUACAAACGGGUUCUUGACCACACCGUGUGCAGUCAGAUCUCUGGGACCUUGUUAUUUAGAGACAAGACUUGAUUGUGCCAUGUUUUCCGCAGCCAGAUAUCUUUUACUUCAUUAUUUCCAAUAUGCCUAUUGAGAAUAAAUUCUGUAAACCAAGACUCUCUUAAGUUCUUUCAUCUUUGGCUAAUUAGUUAUAAAAUUUGUGAAUUUCAUGCUUCAUGGCCCUUGCAAAAUGUAUUUUAUAUCCUUAAGAUGCCAACGGUUGAAUUGAAAUAUUAAAAACUGAAAAAUAGAAUUAAUGCCGAUGGCAUUUCUUCAGAAAAGCAUGGGAUGUUUAGAAUUUUCUUAGAGCAUUUGCUGAACUUUCUGUGAUCGCACUCGAGAUGGGUUGGCGCUACUUCCCUCAUUGCUCACAGGUGGUUGAUAAGUUUUUAGAUUUAGAUUGUGAUUGGUCCGAUCUAUCGGAUGCUCUGAAAGAGCAGAAACUCAGCAGGCCAAGCUUCAUGAGACUUAAAGAAGAAAUGCAGGAGGCAUUCUUCAAGGACGUAGCUUAUGACCAUCGUUCAGGGCUGCCAUUAUCCACGUCAGCAUUUUACGAGGCUGGGAACAAUCUUUCAGGUAUGCCGACAUCCUCGGCAUCGAGUAAUUAAGCAUCACCUUUUCCUAAAAGUUAUACUUGCUACCUGGGAAACUAAAAGAGUUUAGUGAGCUCGAUUGGUACUUGUAGAGAUACCCAGAGCCUAUGUUAUGGCUAUGUAUUGUCUAGUAGCAGAGAAAUUUUAAUGAAUGAUGGAUGAUUUUCUUGUGACUCUUUUGGUAACAAUCAUGUAACGAUUUCAGUAACAUUAUCGCAAUUUUCUUUUUCUUCAAGUAAUCUGGCAUUUGUCAAUUAGAUUGUAGAAUUUAUUGUAUUGUCUCAAGUCCAGUGAGACACACGAACGUAUAACAUUUAUGGAAUGGAUCACAUUAUCAUGAACUCGUUUCAUAGAAUAUUUCUAAAUAGAAUUGUAUAAUUUACGGGAUAUGCUUAAAAAAUUGGGAAAAAAAAUUGUAUUACAAUUGGUGUGAGGCACGCAUGUGCAGUCGCAUCAGUUGCUGAACAAACUUUGCCUUUCAAUUUUGUAGACAUUGGGUGCGUUUGGGGCACGGGGCAGCUGCUCCCCACCCUAUAUUCUGGGGAAUAUUCUCCCAGAAUAAAAGGUGGGACCACAGCGCAGCUGCUCCAAACGCAACCAUCACCGUCUUAAAUUUUUUAUUACCAUAAAUGAGAUUAAGGUAAUUUAAAAAAAAAAAAAAAACUGGAGAUUUCUUUUAUUUUUCCUUUAAAAAUGAAGAAAAAUUUAGAAGGUAUUGAGAGACGGAGAAUUAAAGCAAUUUUAUUCACAAAUGUAAUGUGUUUGGUGCAGCAAUACAAACUAAUAAAUUAUAAUUUAUGAGAUUAGCUUACAGAAUCAUACAUAUAAAAUUAUAUUCUCUGAGUAAAAAUCUUCUCACCUCUUUUGACUUCUCAUUUAUAUGCCCUCUCUAAAAUCUCCCCAGCGAUAAACACAUUUUUAUAAAACAAAACAGAAAAAAUUAUAUAUAAUUGUCACAAGGACUAUUUGCACAUAGUACACAAUUGACCACUAAAGUUAUUUGGACUAUUUAUUCAUUUAUCAUGAAUUUUAGAUACUCAUUUAACUUGUUUGGCCAUGUAUUCACUUGAUCGUUACAUUCAGCUGCCAUUUUCAUGGUGGGUUUGUAAGAUAGUCUCUGACUAACAUAUGGCCAGAGUAUAUAUAUAUAUUGUUCUAAAUUUUAAGAAGAACUAAUUAAAAUCAUUUGCCUAAAUCCCUAAACAUGAUUAUAUAUAUAUAUAUAUAUAUUAGUUAUUUAUUAUUUAUUGAAAAUUAAUUCUUUAAACACUCGAAAAUGUAAAAUAUUAAAUAAAACUCUAUUCUACUAUUGCUAAUCCAUGAAAUUUUAAUUCAAUUAUAAAAUUUUCACUUAUUAUUUUUCUAACUCAAUUUACAUCCUUUUUAUUACUCCUUUUCUAGAUUACAUUAAUUUUCUUAUUCUCCUAUUUUCUAAAGUUUUUCAAUAUAGUUUUACUUCAAAAUAGAAAAAACAAGCACACACACAAAAAAAAAAAAGUAGAUGAAUAAAAGAAUAUAUUAAAAAGAAAUAAGAACAAAUAGAUAACACAAUUAACUAAGAGAAUAAUAAAAAGGUAAAACCUGAAAUUUGAGAUGAAAUCAUCAAUUAACUUUAUCUUUAUAUUAAUUGUUUGAGGAUUUGAGUAAUGACCAAUAGUCACAAAGAAUAGAGAAAACUAUUAGAUUUUUCCUUUUUCUUCUUGAGUAGAAAGUAGAGGAAGUGGGACUUUUUUUUCUUCUCUCUUUCUUUCUCUCAAACACUAAGAACAUAUUGUGUCUUGAUUAUUGGAGAAAAAAUUUAAUGGAUAAGUAAUAAAAUGUGGGGCUUUUAUAGAGGUUUAAAAUGAAUAUAAAACUUUUUAAUUAUAACAUAUUAAUUCUAACAAUGAAAUAGAGAAUUUGGAGUAUUGAAACUAUUAAUUUUUAUUAGUUUCGUAUGAAUUAAAACUACUAAUUACUACAUUAAAUAAAUUUUAUAAGAAUUUGAUAGUUUAUUUAGGAAAACAUAAUUACAAAAUAAUAAGAAAUUAAAUGAAUAAUAAUGAAUUUUAAAUUCACUUUCUUCUUUUGUGUUCAAAGUAAUCAUCUCAUGGGGCCUUCAUGUAAAAUGGAGCCCUAGACAGCCGUCUAAUUUGUCUAGAGGUCGAGCCGCUACUGCAUAUGGCAUUGAUUAUGAAUGAUGGUUUUGUGAAAUAUAUCAUACAGACGUUAACUUGUAUUAAUAUGUACUUACUUCAUUUAAAAGAUUAGUGUUUUUCUGCCCCUUUUCACAUUUUAUAGGUGAAAGGAAGAAACAUAAUAUCGCAGGACUAGAACAAAGGAGCUUAUUGUGGUACCUAUUGUCCAAGGAAGCUUCUGUAUAGUCGGUAGGCACUACCAUGGAAGUCAAAUCUUACCAGAGCCAGGCGGAGUCGUUGCUGAAGGAAUCUAUAUUAGCAGAUCCAUUUGUCCCGUACACUUCAAUUUUUGAUAGCAUUUUUGCUUGCAAGAUGGUAUGUUUUUCAUCGUUAUUGCACGGUGAUAUUUACAAGAAAAUAUGUUGAAUGCGUAGUUUUUAUUUAAUUAGUUAUAAAAAUUUUAUACCCUCUGUUUUCCAUAAGAAUGUGUUCCUUUUCAGGUCUAUGAUCUUGCCAAAUUGAUUAGUGCUGUUCACUUUAAAUGUUGUUCCAGUUUCUCCAACAUACAGCGGGUCGAGUGAAGUAACAGGUGAUUGAAUAUUUUCAUUUAGUUCAAUUGUCAUUUCUUUUUGAAUCGGUAAAGUUUAAUCAUUUUUCUUAAAUCGACAACUUAUGCAGGGCCAUAUCAACCGUCCAUGCCAUUUUUGUUACAGCUAUGUCUUUGUACUUUGUGUUUUGGUCGGAUCUCAGAGUUUGUGCGUAGCACACUUGUUUCUAUUGUUUGAUUGUCCCUUCAUAGACAUUUCGAUAAACUGUUAUUUUUGUUCUUUGGAAGUGAAUAUUUUCCGCAACUAGAACUCCGAAGCAUCUGGAAUGAUCCAUUUUAUGAUUCUUAAUACCUAUAAAAGAAUGUCAUAGAAAACAGUUUCCAAAGGAAGUUGCAUGUGGUUUGAAUUUGUCUUUGGAAGCCACUAAUUGCUUGGAGCACACUGUUAGCCAGUCGUGAUUCCAUCCACUUUUUUGGAUAGACAAUUGUGCAUCCAUCUGAUAUGGUCUAAACUAGUUUUUAAUAAAUAAUUGCCCAAGGAUUUAGUCUGAGUGUUACAGCCCAGUCUUUGUUGUCAAUACUCUUUCCCCCGUCGUGGAUGAGCGCCAUAACAGAUUCUUAAUGUUUUGCAGUGGCUUUUGCACGGUUGUUUUUUUCCUUCUGAAGCUAGAGUAGCUAUGGAUAGAGCAGAUGCAGAAGCCACCAAUUUUUAUACUGGCCUUUCAGCAUCAAAAUCAAAAGGAUCAAGUGGGAACUUAAAGGAGGUUUAUUUGAAUGAAACACCCUCUAUGCAAGCCAAGAGACUCCAAUUAAGACUGCAAGCUCUGCUUAAAACAGGUAUUUAUCUCAACAAAAUAUUAGAACCUUUGCACCACUAGAGACAUUUUCUUAGAGCAUUUACUGGACUUUCUAUGAUUGCAGUAGAGACGGGUCGACGCUCUACCGCAAUCCAUCUCUCUAUUUAUUUUUUGUUUGGAAAUGUAACAAUUUAUAGCUGGCAAAGUAAUAGAGUUGUAUACUUGUAUUUAAUUUAUUAUUAUUAUUAUUAUUUUAAUGACUCGGUAAUGUCAUUGUCCAUGGUGUUUUGUCAUUUCGAAAGUACUUUACCCCUUUGACGCUAAGGCACAUUACAGCAGCCGAAAUUUUGAGCUUUCAGUUCUUGAUUUUAGCGUGAGGGGUAUCUUUGUCUUUUCAGUAGUCAACACACGGUCGACAAAACAUUCUACAAACAAUCGGGGGGGAAAUCGGAGAUACGCUGAUACUUUCUAUCAAAAUGGAGAUACGCCAAACCUCAGGGGAGGAAACUGGAAAUUACCCCUUCGCGACCUGUGAACUUGGGUCAAAACUUUCAUCUUCAAACCUAAUAGGUAGAUCGCGAUUCAAGCUUCAGUUAUAAGCCUUUCAUUGUGAUUGAUAUUAUUCUUUCUUGAUAUAUAUAUAUAUAUAUAUAGAUUAAGUUUGAAUAUGGUUCUUGAUGGUAUCAUGGAAAAUGCGAACGCAAAGUCAGCAUCUUUGAGUUUUGUCUCAUCAUAUCAAACUUGUUGGUCCACUAAUCAAUCAACAGGCACUUGUGAUCUUGAUAAUUUGAACUUAAGGAUGCAACGCAGCAAUCCCAAAGAGACAUGGCUUGAAGCUGAGAUUGUUGUUGAGGGCAAAUCAGUGGCGGUUAAUCGCAGCAUAUUGUCUGAGCGCAGUCAAUUUUUUCGUCGGCUUUUUAAUUUGAGAAAUGAUGGGAAACCCAGGUAUCUUUUGACUGAUUUGGUGCCUCAUGGGAAGGUUGGAUAUGAAGCUUUCAAGGAUUCCUUGCAUUUUCUUUACACUGGAAUGAUUAAGGAAUCUCCUCCAGAAGUGUCCACGUGUGUUGAUGAUGCUUGUGCUCAUUUUGCUUGCCCUCCUGCUAUUAAUUAUGGUAUUGAGUUGAUGUAUGCUUCCGCUGCUUUUCAGAUGAAAGAACUCGUUGUUCUUUCGGAGGUAAUUGUGCUUCCCUGCUAUUUGUAUUGCUUAAAUUUAUGCUUCUUGGUAUAGUUUUAACAUAUAUGGGAUUGAAAUCAAUUUCAGUUGUGAAGCAACUUCGGUGGUUCCCAAUAUUAGGCAUUGUAGUAGAUCCAAAACUAGCUUAUUAAAAAGUGUAGAUACCGUAGAGCCCAAAACUUCGUCUUAUCUUGCAAGAGUCUGUUGUUUUAUUUUGAAAGAGACAAAAGUGAUGAUGAUGGGCAGCGAACUCUAGGAAUCAAUGCUUGCUGACACUGACUCCCAAGAAUCAAUGAGUCUGAAUUUGAUAAGUGCACCUAUCCUAUCACAAAAGCUUUUGCGUUGAGUUUCUAACCAAGGAAAAUUGUCACUUCUGUCUGUAGGCUUCAUAGAUUUGUUCAAGCCUUCAAGGAUGUCUAGCUGUUACUUACCGUCCAACAAUGGUGCUACAUUUCUAGUGAAUGAUAUGUUAUUCUACAUCUGUAUAUUGCAACUUUGACAAACUUCGCCUUUCCUUUGUUGAUUCACUCAUCUCACUUUUAUUAAAUUGCCCGAUUAUGAAAUGGUCUAUUGGAGACUAGCGUUGGAAGGUUUCUUCUGGAAAAAAUUUUACUUGACCACCAAUUUUCAUUUGGGUGGGUGUCAGUUCAUGCUCUGGCUUGACUGUUCUGUUAUUUAGGUUGUUUUAUCCGUAUUUUCUCACUCACUUGAUAGUUAGUUCUCUCAUGCUUUCAAACUCAAAAGUGAAUGCGGAUGCGAGAGAUUCUCUUUUUUCCCGUACAGGCUAUAACCUAGCAAAUCAUUAAUGCUGUAGAAUAACAUCUUGUGUAGGUGAGCUUAUGUCUCUGAACAUUGGUCCAUCGGCAUUUAGGUUCGAUAAGCAUGGCACUGAUUUUCCCCCUCAUUAUUAUUUUCCUACACAGAUUAUCCCCGUUAAGUAUUUGAAUUUUGAAUAUAUUAUUCUGAAUCAAAACUCUAUCUGUCCGUGUAGCAUUUUGUAUAUGUUUUAUGAUGUUUACCAAUAAUUACCCACUAUGGGGUAUUUGAAUUUUGAAUAUAUUAUUUUGAAUCAAAACUCUGUCUGUCCGUGUAGUUUAGGCUUCGGGACAUGGUUGGGAAGGCUCCUGUGGAAGAUGUAAUCCCAAUUCUCGUGGCUGCCUUCCAUUGCCAACUGAACAUGCUCCAUUCUUACUGCAUCCAGAGAAUUGCAGGGUCAAAUCUUGACAAUCUUUGUCUCGAGAAAGAGCUUCCUGAUGAAGUUUCAAGAGAAAUCAAAUCACUCCGUGUCAAAUCCAACCAGGAGUCUGAAGCUAAUAUAGCAGAAGUGGAUCCUAUGCAUGCAAAAAUAGUCAGAAGAAUCCAAAAGGCGCUGGACUCUGAUGACGUUGAACUGUUGAAGCUUCUUCUGGAUGUAUCUAAUGUCACUCUGGAUGAUGCUUAUGCUCUGCACUAUGCUGCUGCCUACUGCAACCCUAAGGUUUUUAAGGAAGUGCUCAAUAUGGACUUGGCUGGUCUCAAUCUUAAGGAUGCAAGAGGUCGUACGGUGCUUCAUGUGGCUGCAAGGCGUAAUGAGCCAGAAGUGAUGGUGACUCUGCUGAGCAAGGGAGCAUGCGCGUCAGAAACUACAUCAGAUGGGCAAACAGCUGUAGCAAUCUGUCGGAGAAUGACAAGGCGAAAGGAUUAUAUUGAAGCUUCAAAGCAGGGGCAGGAAACUAACAAAGACCGGUUAUGCAUUGACGUCCUUGAGAGAGAGAUGAGAAGGAACUCCAUGUCUGAGAACUUGGCAAUGUCAUCAGAGG